UUUUUUUUUACUGACAACUUUGGACUGUAUCAUAAUUUUCAGUGUGAACGGUAAUCAUGUACGAAUGAUGGUGGCAGGUUGUAAACAGAUAUAUCGAUGAAGGAAUUGCAGAGCUUGUACCUGGUGUUCUGUUCAUUGAUGAGGUAUCAUUCUGUCCUCGUGAUUGAAAAUCCACUGCUUUCACAUGCUAGAAAAAAAAUUAAGAAAUAUAUUUAAUUCUCGUGGAGCCCUGCUACAUUUGUUGAACUUCAUCGUGUCUUCUGAUUACUCAAAACUAAUCAAUAAUAAUAAUAAAUUUUUUUUCCAGGUCCACAUGUUGGACAUCGAAUGCUUUUCUUAUCUUAAUCGUGCACUGGAGAGCCCAUUGUCACCGAUUGUGAUACUUGCUACGAACAGGGGAAUAUGUAACGUAAGGUAAGCAAUUUUCUUUGAGACUUAAGGUACCCUGCACCUAACUGCAGUACCAGCAUGGACCCGCACUUGUCUAUUAACUUGCACGGUUGCACCUUACACGUUUAACGAAUCUUGUAAUCUUUUUACCCAGAGGUACUGAUAUGACAAGUCCACAUGGUAUACCAGUCGACCUUCUAGAUAGGUUGGUGAUUAUUCGAACAGAAACAUACGGCCCUACUGAGAUGAUCCAGGUUCUUGCUUAUUUUGAGUCUAAUUUCUAUCAGAUUACAUGUUUAGGAUUUGCUUUUAAUGUUUAGAUUAUUGCCCUUUGCAGAUAUUAGCUAUCCGGGCACAAGUGGAAGAGAUUGAUAUUGAUGAAGAAAGUCUUGCUUAUUUAGGAGAGAUUGGACAACAGACUUCUUUGAGGUAUGACUUUGUAUUUGUCCAUAGGGAUUAGCAUAGAGGGUUUACUGAUCUCAAACAUAAGUUCAAUGCGGUUUUUAGUCUCCAGAAUUUUGGUGUAUGCUUCCAAUCACAAAAUAAGAAUUGAUGUCACUGUAGUUCAUUGUUGCAAGCCCUCCACCUCUCGUAGGGUAAUAAACGAUGGUAAUAAUAUCUUCAUUCCCUUUGCAGACAUGCAAUCCAGCUGCUAUCACCUGCCAGUGUGAUUGCAAAGACUAAUGGAAGAGAGAAGAUCUGCAAGGUAUAUAUACUGAAUUUUCACUAGAAUGUUGUAUUUUCCUUAGCUUCUUGUUCUUGCAAGCUUAUAUUUCUGAUCCUGUGAUCUUUAUCAGGCUGAUCUUGAGGAAGUUAGCGGACUCUAUUUGGAUGCCAAAUCGUCAGCACGUCUGCUCCAGGAGCAACAAGAAAGAUACAUCACCUAGAUUUCUCCUGUUGUAGAAGUCACCAAGAAAACGUAGCUGUCGACUCUAAUCAUGUACACUGCAUCGGUCUGGUUAACAGGUGCAGAAUCUUCGAGAGUACAUUUGAGGGGUAGUGAUUUUUGUACUCGCUGCUUUGGACUCCGGUUAGUCUCCAGCGAAGACUAUUCCGGCAUAUUGCUUGUUCACAUACUGUUCUCAGAUUAGAUCGGUGCAGGAAUUGUCGUGUACACCCUUGCUAAUCAGUUCCAAGAUUCCAUGUGCUCACGAGUACAAUCUACCAUCAUUGGUCAUGAAAGAAUGCCUUUUGAAUUUUGACCAUAUACUUGAUUUCUAGAAGCCAAUUUUAAUGUAUUUCUUUAUUUUAAGUACAUAUAAAAAUUAACAAAAAUCUUUCAAUGCAUUAGGUUUGAAGGUAAACCUACCGGCAUGCAAAUAGUACAAUUGUCGAGUGUCUUGAGAGUUGAGAAACAUGCAUUUUGUUCCAAGAACAUUCUUCCACACGCUGAAUCAUUCUUCCGCCUAUUUUUCAAACAACUGAUAUUUUUGCACGUUACCAUUUGCCCAUCGUUUUCCCGAUUUCCUGCGGCAACGCGAAGGAUCUCUGGAGCCUGAGGCCUCCUCUCCUGUCGAUGUUGUGACAGAGGAAGCCGCGAUCAGCAGGCGUCCUCUCGUACAUGCCGGUGUCGCUAUUUUCUACCCGGCCGGGGCGUUUUCCUCCCGUCUCAUGAUGGCAUGGAAACGUCCGUAUCAUCAUCUCUCAGACAGCGAUGUGUUGUUGCCCUCGACCUUAUUCGACUCCUCUUCCCGCCCGGAAUCGAUCCCCGAGGAGCAACGCUUUGUCAUCUUCACCCGUGCUGCUACAGAGCACUCCUGUGAAAUACAGCAGAUGUACAAUGGCCGCAUUACGGCUCACGGCAUCACCCGUCGUCGUUGCGUGCUCAACGGUAGCGCUACCGCAUCGUCACCGAGAGGCCCUAGUCACCGGAGACCUACACCACUCGAGUCGGGACGCGGCAUCGCACGGCAUCGCCGCUCGCCUCACGUAGUCGUUCCGGGCUUCCGGCAGUGCGGUGCGUCGUCGACCAGUUAAGCUAGGGUGAUCGCGGCGACAACAACGUGAGUGAGGUCCGGGAAAUGACGCACGCGCUGACACCAAUUCCCCUGCAACGCGACAGCCCCGCCUGGGCCGGCCCGCGUCACAGCCGCACACGCUUCUGGCUGCCAGAUAACGUCACCUCUCCAUGGCUCUCCCACUCCCACGCACCGGCCACCGCGCGCGCGCACUUGCUUUUCUAGCCUCGAUUCCGUCGUCCCCAGCAGGUCAAGUUGGUCGUUUCGUUCGACACCGGUGGCGGCGCGCGCGCCGAGAUUUCAAACAGCUCGUACGAACCAGGUGCAUUGCACCUUGCAGCUCCGGGAUCGCUCUCGACCGGCCAAAUAAAGUCUCGCGAUCGACGGCUUGUCUCUCGACGACGUCGCAGCGUGCGCCCCAAGCCGAUCGACGUACACGUCGAGAGCCCGUGUGUGAUGGAGAUUGGGUUUGGGGUGUGCAGUGCAGGGGCGGAUCGGAUAGGGCGCUCGAAAUAUCUCAACAGUAGGUGACAAGUCCCUUUGCUCUUUCCCCUCUGUUUUCUCCAGGCCCUCUGUCCCCAAUUCCCCCCAUAUUGUGUGGCGCGCGUAGGAGCAUCGGGUACGGCGGCGCCCCUUGGCCAUUUCCAGCCUUUUGUGUCGCGGGUCGCAUGAUUGCAAAUGCCCUUGGUUUUGGCUUUCCGGUCGUGCUCGUCAGCUCGUGCGUGGUGAGAGACGUGAGACGGUGGCAGCGGCGACGCAGCGGCGAGGGGUGUGAAAGGAAUCGGCGGGGCGGGUGCCUAUUCGGUCGUACAGUGCGGGUACACUGUGCCGGCCUUGGCGCCCCCCCAAUCAUUUGUACGGGCGCAAUUUCGCCGGCCAACCCGGGGGCGCCACGUGGCCGGAGAUCUCGUGGGGGAGUGUGGGGUGGUCGAUGUGAUGAGAGAUUUGAGAGCGGCGAAAGCCACGUGACCCGGCCGCGCGCUCCCAUUUUCCAGGAGCGGCCAAAGCUGCCUUUGGAGCUCCGCCCGGAUUGCCGGAGCAUGCUACGUACUGGCAGCGACUAGCGACCACUCACCACGCAGCGUCCUUGCUCAUGUCCUGUCGUUCUGAUGAUGUCCAUGCUUUGUACUAGUUUGUAGCGUGCUGCACGUCUACGCUACAAAUUGUUUUGGUGUAUAAUUUGUUGUCUGUUAAACAAGGAUCGAUAAUGUUGGUAGUACCAUAGUACUGUGCUAGUAGUAGGCUAGUAGCCUUGACCAUCACUUUGCCUUGGGAGGAACUGCAGAUUGUAUUUGCUUACCUAAAGAGUCCACUUUGGUAUGCUUUUACAUGGACAGUUUCUCGUGAACAAUACUGUUGGGCCACCUACGAAUCUUUUGAUCUUUCUCACUGCACAAGUGGGGAACGAACGAGCCAGAGAAUAUUGGAAAGGGGUGAGAUAUUCAGAUAUCCUCCAGACCGAUUCAUGCACGAUAAAAGUUAGCUUUCCAUAGUCCAGAGCUUCCGCACUCUCGGACUAUAUUUGUGUAAAAUGAAAUGAAGAGAAAGCAUGUUGAAAUUCACAUUGAUUAAUUUACUGAUGCUACAGGAAAUAGUUUGAUUAUCCUAAGUUUAAAAUUAUAAAAUUAUAGAUCGUUUUAACUUUUUUAGGUUCGUAUAUGGAACAGUUUGGAAUAGUGCUCCGUUCCAAAUCCAACCCGAACUGUCUCCUUUUUCUUUACAGCAAACGCUCAAAAUUUACUCGUCGCCUAGUACGACCAACCUCCCCGUCCGCCGAUAGAUCCGACGGCCGCGAAGUGGGCGCCAUCCUUGAUCGCCUGAAAGGAACGGCGGAGGAUGGCAACAAGGUUUUCACCACAAAUGAAAAGGGUAAGGCGGGGCGGCGUGGGCCCGGAAGAAUCCCCUCCAUCACCUCCCAGCGAAUGGGGAGGCGGCACCCACGUGAUGAGCUGCCCGCCCCCACAUCCUGACAUGCGCCGAUCCGCCAGAGCGCCGUGUCCCUCUCCUCCCGCGCCCCUAUUUCUACCUCCCCGCCGGCUCUACUCGUCGCGCUCUCCACCGGUCGUCCGCUCGUCCAUCCUCGCUAUCGCUGCCGGACACUCGCUGCCGGACACUCCCGCUGGCAGGUCGCGAAGCACACACGUCCCCGGCCGCCGCGGCUUCAGUUGAGAUCGGAAGGUAGCUAGCGGCUUCGAUCGCCACCCGUCUAUGGACAGGGAGGGGCGGCGGCCCGUCGUCGGCGAAUCUGCGGCGGCCGCGGAGGCCAUGGACGACGACGUCUCCUCGUCUCCGGCGGCGGCGGAGGCCAUGCACGACGACGGCUCCUUGUCUCCGGCGGCGGCGGAGGCCAUGGACGACGACGGCUCCUCGUCUCCGGCGUCGUACAUCAGACUGGUACGCAAGUGCUUUCGCGCGAUCUGCUGCCGUGCAUUGAGAAUUUGAGAUACACGGCAUGCAUGGUGAUAUUUAAGCAUGGUGAUGAUAUAUGUAAGCGAAACCUUAAUUAUAAUAUGCAGGUGCAGCAUCUGAUCGAGAAGUGCAUCUGCUACAGCAUGAACAAGGAGGAGUGCAUGGUGACGUUGGAGAAGCACGCCAACAUCCAGCCCGUCAUCACAUCCACCGGUAUUGUCCUAGCUGCAUGUUCUUCUUCUUCAUCUUCCAUUGCAUCCCUGCAAGCGAUUAGACGAGGGCAUUUCCCGAAACUUGCUAGUCCAGUAGUCCUAUUAUAUUGUUGAUUUCUUCUUUGCGUUGAUAGUUUGGAAGGAGCUGGAGAAGGAGAACAGGGAGUUCUUCGAGACGUACAGGAAGGAGAACAGGGAGUUCUUCGAGACGUACAAGAAGGAUCGGCCGGGAGAAGAGUCGACGCAGAAGAAUCCAUCCGACGAGAAGCCUUCCGCUCCCAAGAGCUCAGAGCCUCAGACGACGACGACGACGACGAGGAGCAGCCUUCCGCUCCCAAGAGCUCAGACGACGACGACGACUAGGACUCGGUCGUAACGAUGGUGCACAGCAGGUACAUAUAUCUAGAGGCUAGUAUAUGCAUGGAGUGGUGGCUAGCUAGCAUAUAGGUACAGUGUAUAUCACUGCCAGCAUCACCAUUCACCAGUGUACGUAGUACUAGUAAUUUGCAUUGCGUAUAGUGUGCGCGUACGUCGUAGGAGCUAGCCUGCAUGGUCUCGCAUAAAUAACAUUAUUAUCGGGCAGAUGACUAUUACACAGCACGGCCGGCAUGCAGGCGGUACCGUGGUGGCUGUACAGAUCUUUUGCAUGCACGUGGGGCCCUGCACACGCGGCGGGAGAAUGUUCAACCAGCGAGGUGCGAGGACCCCGACCCGUCUGUGUGAAGGAGGACAGGUUCCUGUCUGAAAAAAGACGCGUCGCUCUUGCCCGGUGUCCCCAGCGCGGUGCCCUCCGCGCUCGCCGUGCGGCCGGGCUCCGCCGAUCACACCAGGCCAAAACUAAAGCUCCCGAGAUUUCCCCCCCGCUUCCUUUUCGGCGCCGGGGCGGGAGCGCGACGUCUACGGCGGCCGCGAGCGCCGUGGAGACGGAUGGCCAGCUCCCAGGGGUGCGCGUGCGCGUGCCGCCUUGUUUGGUCGGUAGCGCGGCGGCUUCGAUCGCCUGCAGAGCGUGGGUCCAAGGAUUACGCGUCUCCUGUGUGACCGGUGCUGGCGGAUCGCCAGAUGGGAUGCACCCGCGACGCCAUGCGUCGUCGGCCACACACGAGGUGGCUCGAUCUGGCUUCGGGAGUUAACUGGAAUCAAGUCACCGUCGUCGGCUCCAGCCGGCGGCCGAUCGAUGGCUCCGAUCCGCCCGGGCGACGGCGACGGCCACGGCGACCGUGUCGACGAGUGCGUAGGUGUAUUUAGGCAACGUGAAUUAUACAACGUAUGGAGCUUUCAUACGUAGAGGCCGUCAGGACUCAGGAGCACAGCUGGUGGAACCGACGGAUACGGGAGCUGGCGCUGACGUGCCCGCUUCGUUGGCUGCUGCUGGCCACCGGCCGCGCUGUGGCUGUGGUCUCCCUUCGCCGAUCGUUCCUACCCCAGUGCAUACGGCUGUACGCAUACGUCCUUGUCGGCCUGCCAGAUGGAACUUUCUUUCAGGCACCGGCGCUACCUAGCUUCACGCACGGUUUUCUCACGCUUCUUCUCGUGUGCGCUGCUAUCACACAGAUGCCGGUCUGCAUCGAUGUGGUGCCAUGUGUUGUUUCCCUCGAACAGAAAAGAGAGAAUCUAUCGAGCGCUUCUGUGGUGAAACACAAUAUCCUAGCUAGUUAUGCGUACACACAGUUUUGCUCGUGUGGAACGAGGAAAGUUUAUCAAGCGUAAGCAGGGCCGCCAAACUCCGUGGAAUGGAUCAAUGGGGUUGGCCGGAUUUCCGUCUCGUCUUGUCUUGCAGUCUUGUUGGUCACACGUUGUUGAGGAACGGUAGCGGCAGGCUACCAACCGCUCAAGAGUACCCAACAGGCCAACAUCCCGGUGCACAAUUUAAGCUAAGCAGAAGAGGCCCGGCCUGCAGCGUAAUUGGUCCCGAGCCCCAACAGCUCUUCCUUUCUCCGUUGCGCAGUCACUGAACCGCCGUCUGCGCCGCUGCAAACAGGCCCGCCAUACAGCAUCGCCACCGCCGGGGACUAGGGAUGGCAACGGGCACAAAUUACCCUCUAAAUUUGGGUGAAGAAAAUCCUCGUUUCCUGUCAAAAAAGGGUGAAUUUGGGAUCAGGACAUGAGAAACAUGUGGAAGAUUUCGGAUUGCUAUGAACAGGUGGGCUAGUCGCAAAGCUGUAUGCAAGGUAUCUUGACAAAGCUUGCGGCAUUGCGUACAUUAGCGCAGAGCGAGUCCACAGUCCACACUCGCGGUAUCAUCAUCACUACUACGAAACGUGCAACUCGUCAGACACUGAUUGGAUGACCCAAGGCAUUGACUAAAUCAAGGCUGUAUACAUUACUCCAGAAGAAAUACACAGCUCAGUUGUCGGUCUUCAGGAAACCAGAUAUAACACAAGAAAAGAGCUGAAGACCGGUAUAAAAGAGGCCCUCAUCACUGAUCACUGGCAUGAGAUUCUUGUACUAGAAAUCACACUGCAAUCUACCAGGGUCCAGAGCAUCGCCGCUGCGGCACUCGAGAAUGCACUCAUGUUCCCAUCGCAUGUACCCCAAUGGUUUCCUACGACGGCUGAUGAGACGAGCACCAGGUCUUCCUGCGGCUACGAACCCGUGUAUUUCCCCCUGCUCUAAACUUGCAAGCUAGUUCUCGUGGGACAGAGCGUGCUCGGGCCGGUGGGUGAACUCAUAAUCGAGGUGCACGAAGGCGCGCUCGAUCUCUGGCAGCCGCUCCAGCUUCUCCUGCAGGGCCUCGCCAAUGUCGUGCGCCUCCCGGAGCGGCAUGUCCGACGGCAGCACGAUGUCCACUUCCACGAAGUAGUGGGAGCCGAACGUGUAGGCGCGCACCGUGUCGAUGUGCCGCACGGCCUUGUGGUGGUUCCAGCACAGGUACGUCAGCUUCUGGAGGUACUCCGGCGAGGCCGACUGCCCCACCAGGGAGUGCACGUUCUCCAGCACUGUCAUAGACCAUGUUCUGAUUGUGUAGAUUGCAAGCUGCAAUGAAAGAGGUAGGCUGUCAGCAUCUGAAAUUUGCAUUCUGGAGAAAUGGGCUACUGUGAGUAAUGCUCACGUAUGGGUAUGGAAUGCUUGUAAGUGCAAUAGCUGCCUAUCCAGAAUUCCAAUUGAGGAGUCACAGUAAGUCAUUGCUUAUCCUUUGAUCAUGCUACAAUCAAUGAGUUAAUCUUCUAUUAAUUUUUUCUUUCAAAAGCUAGGUAUUCUAUUUUUAAAGACAAUGGCCACUAGACCAGUCAAAAUGAUUUUAGGUGCUAAGCUAGAUCCUGGAGCCUACCAAUCAGGAACUGAAGCCAGUCAGUGGCUCAGGUUCACCCAAACAAUGUUUAUUAGAUGUCAUAAAAACUUGGGUGAAUCACUAAGUGCACAUCAUAGAACCUUUUUAGACCAAACUAAUAAUUAUUGGACUAGGGAUAUACUCCGAUGCUACUUAUACUGCAUAUUGAUCAGUGAGAAUAAAGAUAAAAACUUCUCUUGUACUUACAAUGAUUGCACCAACUGGGUCGAUCCAGCCAUCAAUAUAAUUGGCAAGUAGUGCAGCAACUAGACCAAUUACAUUGGUAAUGACAUCGAAAAAGUGAUCCUGUGCAUAUGCCUUGACGAUUUCAUUUGUGAACGAGCGGCAAUAUAUAACCAGGGCAAGUUUCACCAAUGUCACCGAGAGCAUGAUGUCCACAACCCACUUUUCCUGCUGGCUUGUUAAGCUGAAUUCAUCUCCCUGGAGAAUGAGAUCUGAGAUAGUUACCGAGGGCAAAACAAGAAUAUGAUCUACGGAAGUAGCGUACCAUUAAGUGCAAGAAAAAAAUUUACUAUUAAAUAGCAAAAAAACAGAAGCAUUUGUUUGCUGCAAAUAAUUUGGGUGUGCCGUGAAGGAUAAAAACAGGGCAUCUCAAUUGCAUACACUGAUGUCUUUGUUAGUUGUUACUGAUAGAAAAAAAGUUCAGACUACUAAUAUUGAAUUGCGACUCAGGAAAAAAUGAAAAUUCUAAGAAGUUUCUAGUCAAAAGGAAACUGAAAAUACAUUUUGUUUGGGACUGCUUGCUGGUUUCUCCAUCAUCCGAUCCACAAGGAAACCAAAAGCAAAGGAAUUUAAGCGUGGACCGAGAGAGAGACUUACAUCAGACGCCAAUGACCGUACUGAUUCUAGAAUGAUCUGAAGGCCAAGAGUUGCCAUAACAGAAGCAAAAACAAGUAUUCCCUGAAAAAAAUAUUACAAUAAAUAGUAGAGUGAAAAAUAACUGCAAAAUUCAAGGAAAAACAGCUUGAAAUUAAAUUAAAUAGAUUAGAGGACUCCAAACAAAGUUUUAAAUUUAUCAUUGGACUAAUGCCCAGAGAUGCAUUAGAAGCGAGGAACAUCAUUUCGGACUAUUCAAUUUCAUAAAUCACAAGCUGUCAUUUUUUGCAUCUUCCCAUUAUAUGUACUUUCUGGAAGAGCAUUGUUUAAGCAUUCAAUAUUUCCUUUCUGAACAAAUUUCUGCGUGUGCUUUCAUGUUGACAUAACAAUAACACCAUGUUAAGUAACUCAUACAUGUAAUGCAUACUGAACAUUGAGAUGGCCGAAUGGAACAGUGUUCUUGAAUGUACAAUGGAACCAAAUACAGAAUUAUAGUAAAGAACAAAUGAGCUAAAGAAAUUCUGGAAGUACAGGUACUGACAAAACUCACCAGUGGCUGCAUACGCUUUUUACCGAUAGGGUAUCUGUAGGGGUUUGGAGUUUGCAUUGAAAAGGCGGUAAACCACAAGAUGAACCCUGACAGUAAGUCUAGAAGAGAAUCCAAAGUGGAAGCAAUAAUAGCAAGUGAGCCACUCCGUACUGAAGCAUACACUUUUGCAGCAAAAAGAACCAUGUUUGCAAAGUUAGACAGCCGUAUUGCUAAUGUCUCACUCCUAGCAACCUUUUCGCGUUCUUCCUGUGGGCAAAUGAAUUGGUGAUCAGUGACACGAAUGAGGUCUCACUAAAAAAAAGUAGAUGCAAAUGCAGUCAAACUAAUCUGUAUCAUUUAAUUAACUUGCAGGUAAGCUGUCAUACGUCCCCAAUGUUAAAGUUACAACCAAAAGUUUAUAGAACAGACCUUGGACAUUCCAGGAAGGAAACCACGAUCUGUAAGCGUAUCCAUCUCAUUAAAACCCUCAAGCAUCUCCACUUGUUGUUGGUAGUACUCGGCAACAACAUCCUCAGGACCUUGAGCUGUCGACAGAACCAAAAACGUUUUUAUUAAAAAAAACUCACUUUUGUUCAAAACCAAAGAGGAAGAUAUGUGAUUCAUCAAUAUAAGUCAGAUAUUAUUGGACCAUGAAAUGGCUCCUUUGUUGUUAAACUGACACUUCAUAAUUCAACUUGUAAUUGUCCUUUCCUCUAUAUAUUGGGAGUACAUCAUACAACCCGGCAUCUCACGUGCCAUCCAAAUGUCCUUUACUCUUGUAACCCGACUUGUCAGUUGUCACUUAAUUACAUGCACCAACUAACCAAAAAAAUUCUAUUUUUCCAUGACUUUUGCACGUGCAGAAAUGAGCACCUCACGUGAUGCAGACUGUCCUUCCACAUAUGAGCCCUGAAAAGUGUAAACCCAAUAGGCAGCAGCAGAAUUUGCAGAACCCCAAGCUAAAUUAUGCUGACGGAAAGAUACACAUUUGUGUUGGGUUCCCAAAGUGGCGCCAUAGCAAAUCGGUAACAGCUAGGCUGCAUCUAGCCCAACACUACCUUAAUAUCCUAAUUCGAUCCCCAUCUCUGGACUAAAAAGAUUCUAGCUAGUCCGCCCUAGCGUCAACUUAGCUCUUACUGGAAACCAAAAAAUAAAAUAAAAUUGGCAACUUCGGGUAUUCACAGGUCGCAGAAAGAAACUAUUUUAUCAAACGAAACAGGCCGAGAGAGGCAAUACAGAAAGAAAAUGGAAGCAGGCAAUACAGCCGAGAGAGGCGGACCUAGGACGCCGAGGCAGUGGUGGAGCGCGCCGGUCGGUGGCCUCUCCUGCUGGUGCGCCUCCGGCGGGCGGAACCCCUCGAAGUUGAGCCGCCACGACUCCUCCGCCGCGGCGUGCGCGCCGCCGCCACCGUUGCCAGCCUCCACGGCCGAGAGCAGGAGCAGCUCCUCCCCCUCUACGCCAUCUGCCGCCGCCGCCGCCCCAGCCAUUCCCCAACCCUAGGAGCCCGGCGAGCUUGGCGCGCCGCGCUUCAAACCGUACGUGCCACACUCCCCUUGGCACGACGGCGCACGAGGGGGAACCGCAGCGGGAGACUGGGCUGCCUCCGCCUGGCCAGUCGGUUGGUACUGUAGUUGCCAAGCAAGACGGCCAGGCCAAAAGCGCUCGGCCCGCCCCCCGCGUGCCGGCGUGCGCCGUCUUGAUUAAAGAGGGAGGCGAGGCGGGGGACGAAGUGGGGGCCUCCCUCGCCUCGCUCACGGCUCGCUGGGUGGGUGGGUGCGCCGAGCCUAUGAGCCCGGAGAGGCGGCCGCCGUCGGAGACCGGUCUCUGACCUGUCGCGGGUCUCGUGUGCUUGGUGCAGGGCGUGCUAGGGCUGGGUGGGCGAGAGUUCCAGCGGUACGCAGGUGGAGGGGGCAUGAUUUGAGAGGACUCGGAUCUCGCGGUUGCGUGCGCGCCGGAGGACACGAAACAGCGAAACUCUUCAGGAAAACUGGAAAAGGUACUUCCUUUGAAAGGCGUGCUUCACCAUUAACACCAACUCCCAACUUUGGCACUAUACAAAAAGAAGAUUCCCCAUCAUAUCAAACUUGCGGUACAUGCAUGGAGUACUAAAUGUAGACGAAAUUAAAAAAUAAUUGCACAGUUUUGUUGUACUUUGCGAGACGAAUCUUUUGAGCCUAAUUAGUCAAUGUUUGGACAAUAAUUCACAAAUACAAACGAAACGCUACAGUAUGCUACAGUGCUGUAACAGUAAUUUGGCACCUCCAAACUUUGGCAACUAAACAAGGUCUAAGAUUUAGGAAACUGAAAGCGUGUCGUCUCGUGAUAAACGUUGCAAAAAUAAAAUUUAGGAAAUCAAGCAAAUUCGGUAUCCGUGAAUGAGCCAAGUACGGCAUAGAUUGCCCAGCGCUAACCACUUUAACGAGAUUUCGAGACCCAAAUCUUUCAGCAUCGAUUUACAAACCCAGACACUAACCGUACAGUGUGAUUUCGUUCCAGGCGACUGCUUGUCUAAGCCGGUAAAAGAUACUCCUGACGAGAAGUCAUGAGCGUGCUCACGGGAUUAGAUGUUCUGGUCGUGCCAAUUUCCUGAUGGAAGACGUACGGUGUGGCCACAAUGGCCCGCCGCGUCGAGGUCGCCGUAGCUUUCGCGGGGCGAAAGCCGAAGCCGUCCCCGUGCUCAUCCGCCGAGCUCGCCUGUCCAGUGUUCCUCCACACGUCCGACUCGGAAGGGAACCGUGUGGCGCUGGCCCUCCGCGGCGUCGAAGCCACCGGAACAGGGCGUCCGAAAGCGCUGGCACGAGCGCCACGGCGAUAGGGAGUGAAUGGCAGCCCAAAUACCCUGUCAGUGACUCAGCUGGACCCGCUGGUCAGUGACGGUUUGCUCGUCUUCAACCGGCGGCGGGGCCGCGCGGUAAAGCAGCGGCCGUUGGGCGUGGAUAAGAUGGGUGCUCCUGCUCCGACGCUGCCACCGGAGUUAUCCUGGGCAGGCGCACGCGUACAGCGACGGUGAUGGGAUUUUGGAAGGAUCAUCGGGGCGGGUGGGUGCCUGACCACUUGGCGAUGCGAAUAACGUGAAUUGCGUUUGCGUGGAUAUUCCCCAAGAUUGUGGAAAGGGGGAAGAAAAAUUCGUAGCAUGCCAGAAGAGGGGGUUUGUUAAGGACGAGGGAAAGGACAAACGAGUUUGGGCGCUGAUCGGUGAUCAUGGAGGAGAAUCCUGGGUUGGUGAGGAGGGACAGGCUUGGGGUCAAAAUGACCUGAGGAACGUGGGACAGGGCGGGCGUGUAACUCAGGGGUGUUUGAUACGAGGUGUUAAACUUUAACAGUGUCACAUAGGAUGUUCGGAUGCUCGGAUGGUAAUUACGAGAACUAAACAUGAGCUAAUUAUAAAACUAAUUACAGAAUCCUGUGCUAAUUCGUGAGAAUCUAUUAAGCCUAAUUAAUCCAUCAUUAGCAAAUAGUUACUGUAGCACCACAUUGUCAAAUCAUGAACUAAUUAGGCUUAAUAGAUUCAUCUCGCGAAUUACACUCUAUCUAUGCAAUUAGUUUUGUAAUUAGCCUAUAUUUAAUACUCCUAAUUAGCAUCCAAACAUCCGAUGUGACGGGUGUUAAACUUUAACACUUGUUGCCAAACACGCCCUCAAUCAAAAUUUCGUAAAGUUAACCUGAUUUUGACUGCUGCCCUGAGAUUCAGUAUUCCGGGACGCAACCCCCUGUGACGUCUCCAGCAGCGCCCAUGGUGCCACAUACCAAAGGUGAGCUGAUAGCUGCCGUAGCGUCGUGGUAGCAACUUACAGAUCAGUCCAUCUUAGUUCUGAGACCAAAAUAUAAUUUUUUUUGACCGAGCGAAUUGCCGACGUUAUCCUUGUGCAAUCACAAGUGACCAGAGCAGAUACGGUAGUUACACCAACCACACGUCACACCAGAAUAGCAUACACAGUAGAGUUGCGCAAGCACCUGUCCUACGCGGACACGCCCCUUUUUCUUUCUCCACGAGGCCUGGAGCUUCUUAUGUCAAACCUUCUGUGAUGAGGCAACAGAAUUUCAUGGCAGCAUAUGACGCAUCAAAGUCAUCAAUACCCGGCUGUCCUGUUGCAAACCUGCCAGUGUUGUAUUUGUGCUUUCGAAUCGAGCUCGGGGUGACGUCAGACAGCCCGGCAAACGAUUCCCUGAACCACGUGGCCUAACGGUCUACUUCGAUCCCCCUAGGUCAGCCUGAGUCACCAUUGCAUCAUGGAAUACAGAAGAAGAGACGCUCGACUCUUUUAUGAGUAAAAGUUUUAUCAGCGUACAGUCACACGCCGCUGGGUUAAAAAAGACGAGAAACUGCCACUAAAAUACUAAAUAGCACGAUUUCUGAAUACGUGUGCCAGUGGCUAGAUAUAGCCUGUGUUUGUGUCGUCCUAUUCAACGCAAAACAUACUCUUACCUAACAUGUAUAUGGAAGGUUUUCCUGGUGAGAACAAUGGAAUCGCUCUAUCUUUACUCCAGUACAGAAAAAAAAAUAAAAUCUAAACAAAUACCAAGAGAAUAUCACAAUUUCAUUUCUAUACAUUUCAUACCACCAGAGCUCAUACAAAACCUUGGAAGGUGUAAGAUGCUAUCCAUAAAACUAAGGAACUGGACUGUUUGUUGGAAGCAGUUCAACAGAUAAUCUUUAGUAAAAAAAUGAGCUUUUUAAAAGCAUAUAUACGGCAUAUGACUAUAAUCACAUGUAAAUCACUGAUUCCAUGCUCAUAGUGUACUCUCAAAUCUCAAUAACAUGUAAACAGCUGGACAAAAUCACACGGGUUAUGGUGUAAAAAAAAUGCCCCCACAUUCCCAAAACACUGUGGGAAAGUUUAAAGUCUCAGCUGGUAGUAAGUGCUUUUGAACAAGGUUAGAGCCUAGAAGUUAUCUAGGUGGAGCUCCAGCAUUGAGAUUGUCUUAUAUUCUUAUGCCGACAAUUUGCAAGCUUUUUUCAUGUGUCACACUCAAAGCUCAGUGAAAACCAAGCAUGACCAUGAUACACAGACUUAUUGUAAAAUAAAAAGCCCAUCUCAAGCAGAACUCAUCACCAGUAGAAACAAACGGAGUGCGUUUGUUUUGUUUCUGGACCAACUCGCACAUUUUAAGACGAAAAAGAAACACGAACAAACCAAAAGAUCCAAGGCUUGCCAACUUGCACAAGAAAUACUCAGAUUUAAAAUGCAUGCAAAAUGAUUACCUGUUGACAAGAAUGCUCACCGUAUACCACCAUUAAAUACAGUGUACCAGUCUUCCAUGCAAGCCACUGAGAUCCCAUUUAUCCUCAAUUGACUCCACUUAGUUAGAGAUUUCUGCAUACUACCUGCUAGUACUGAAGAGUCUGGCAAAAUUAGUUUGAAUGAAGACAGAAAUUUGUGAGAAUUCGAAGAAAAUAAAAUCCAGUUAAAAUGGAUCGACUGUCCGAGAACUCUGCUUAUAUACAACAAUUACCUUUCACAUCAUUGAACAGAAUGCAAGUUAGCAUAUUUCAUUUUUCGUAGAACAUCUCCACUUUUUUUGUAGUUCUUACACAUCAAAACGAAGAAAUACAGCAUUGAGAUUUUCAAUCUCAGUAUAGCCUCAGAAACCAAAUCUUCUGAUGCAUCUGGUAAAGAAAGGGUGUCGUAGAGCUUCACGUGCUUUAAGGCGCUCAUUAGGAUCAUACCGAAGAAGUCCUUGAAGAAGAUCUAUUAGAUCUCCAGCAGAAUGAUCAACAUGUUGCAUAACAAGAUUCUGCAUGAGUUGAAUGAUUAGAAAUUUUCAAAAGGCAUACCAUCGUAUGUCAGUUGAGAAAAGAAAAAACUGUGACAGGUAACAGGUUACAUCAGAGGCUAGAAGACUACCUGAAGACGAGGCAAUUUCCAGACUGCCUUCAUGCUCUCUCGUGAGGCCGCCCCCUCUGGCCAGUCCAACCUUACUCCGCGCUUGAAGUACUUUUCAGCACGUCGACUGUAAAAUAGCAUUAAUUAAUUAAUGUGAGUAGUUAAUCUGAAUAAAAUUAAGACAGAAGUCAUCAUCUGCCUCAACUAGAUGUACAUCAACCAAGAUUAUAAAAAAAAAAUACACUAAGAGGAUAGCAAAGGACUUGUAGACAUACUCAGCUCUGACAAUCAUAUGCUUUGGGAGGGGGCCUAAGACCCUCUCCAUCAUAGCCAAAUGCUCCAAAUUUUCGUGAGUUUGAAAGAGAGCUUCCCCCUAGUAUUAUCAUGCAAAACCAAAAAUGCAAGAGGAACUUAUCAAGACAAGAACCACAAAGUUGCAAUAGCAGCAACAGCUAUGGACAAGAUUAACCAAGUACUCAGAUUCAAAGAGGUUUAGUGAACUAACCGAACAGAGCUCAACUAAAAUACAACCCACACUCCACAAGUCACAUGGAUAGUUCCACCCAAGACCUAAAAGGAAAAUAGCAAAGAUCAAAACACAAAAACAAAGCAAUUGGUGUCAGUAGAAAAUAAAGAUGAAUAUCCAGUUUGCAUGGGUUGGUGGGGAGGUGUUAACUAUACCAAGGAUAACUUCGGGUGCGCGGUAAUGUCUUGUCGACACCACAUAAUUGUGAUCUUGGUGUUCAAAUGUCGUGCUGCCAAAAUCAAUCAGCUUGAUAGCACUAGAUUUUGGAAGGUUCUUGAAGAAAGAACCAUCCUUGGGUGGUCGUAUAGAAACCUUCAUUGCAAAUAAAAAUAGAGUUUAGAAAAAUAAAUGUAUUCAUGCACAAAUGAAAUUAACUAGUCAGCAAUUCCUAUCCCACAUAAGAAUUGGAUGGAUUCCUGCCAUUGCAAUUUUGCACAAUUCAUUAGUUUUCAUUAUUAGCAACAUGGUGGAUCCCACAUGUCACUGGCACACAAUGGCAAAUAACGAAUUGCAAAAAUUUUGUAUGGCAAAGAAUAUUUUCCCUGAAAAAGAACCUUAAGCAAUAAAUGUCCAAAAAAAGAACCUUAAUAGCAAAUGCCAUACAGAAGCAGAGGUGACAAUUUAGGAGUUCAGUAAUAACCUUAUAAUCAGGCACCCUGAUAGAUUCGGAUGAAACAAGAAGAAUGUUCUCUGGCUUCAGAUCCGUGUGAAUAAGUCGCAAGUCAUGCAUAACUGCAGAGAUAAGAGAAACAUCAGAUGUUUUAGAAAGGGAAGCAUAAGCACAUCAGAACUAGCAAAUCCAGCUUAACAAGAUCAUGCCAAGCAAACUUUAGCAGGUUAGUAAUUUAGUGAUAUUGAUGGAAAUUCAAAAGACUUGAUGAUUGCAUCAAAUACAGCAAAAGUAGACUGAGUACUCACAUGCAACAGACUCUAAUAUUUGUCUAGCAAAUUCACGAACAAGGUCGAUCGGAAAUGAACGGUAGCUAUUCUUUCGCAGAAAGUCAUAUAAGCUUGGCCCAAGCUUCUCAAAUACCUGAACAGAUCAUUAAUCCAAUAUCAUAACUUGAUCAUCAAAAACAAGAAAAGGAUAGCCUUCUUGAUGCAUAUGUACUUACUAUACAUAUAUGAUUACGAUAGUCAAACCAAUUCCGUAUUUGCACACAGCUGCAGGCAUAGAACCAUCGAUGCAAAUCCAUCAACUCACAAAACGGGUCAAUAAGUGAAAUAAAGGAGGUGGAUUUCUUACCGGCUGCCAGUAAAAUCAUGCUUCCCAAGUCUCUGAAGCACGUCAAUUUCUAUCAUAGCAGCCUCUCGAUAUUUCUGGAGGGAGCGCACAAUCUUGAUAGCCACUGCUUCUUGGUUUUCCAAGUCCCAGCAUUCCAAAACUUGUCCAAAUGUCCCUGUGACACAAAAUGAAACGAUAAAUAUAGCAUGAAAACAAUGAAAGCACAGGGAACAAGAGCAAAAAAGAGCCUGUUCAUCCUGUACAUUCAAAUGGAAACUAAACAUUCCAACUAAGAACCAGAUCACUACAGAACAGAAUAUGCAGAAUAUGAAUUGUAGUAGAUCAGACGGAACACACUAACCUUCACCCAUCUUGCUAAGUAUCCUAUCUGCAAGACCAGGAAAGCAGUGUUAGUCAUUAUAUUAUAAUAAAAUAGCAUAGCAAACAGAACCAAAAACAUAAACAACGGUUGGAACUGAUGUAAGGAUCAAGCAGUUUCAACAAAUCGUCAACAAAGCCUACAGGCUAAGACCAAUAAAGAAUAUUGGGGCUUGUUUAGAGCCAAUAAGUAAAGCAUUUUCUUAGUUUUUAGUUGACACCAUUUGAUGAAUGAUGAAUGUGGUGUUUGAAAUUGAAAUGGACCAACGAUUAGUAGAUGAAACAGGAAUUUAAGUGUUUAAUUGUGAAGCUAUGUAGAGCCAGAAUACAGAAAUGAAAACUGCACCACCAACAUGGCAACUUACAGUAACAGAUAACAUCUGAAAGAAAAUCCAUCUCAACAAGCUAUAGGUCAGAGAGGCUCAGAUGCAAGCCAGAAACAAGCAACCUAGUGCAAGUAAAUUAAACAUCAUUGAGCUGUGGAAAUAAUGGAAAUAUACAUCUUGGUGUCAGAUUCUCUCCAACCGCGAAAACAUAGUGCCCAUCCUUGUCAUCCGGUCUCCAAGGAGGUGAAAGAUUCCGCGGAGGUCCGGUGUAAUAAAUUGGCGGCGGCGGCAGAAAAGCCGUCGCAAAAUUACCAUUAAUUAGUUCCUGCCCGCAGUAUAGCAUUGGAAUUGCCUGCAAAAAUAGAAAGCAAUGUAAACUUUUUACUGACAACAUGGAUACACAAAAAACUGAAGGCUGGUCUCUUACGUUUUGUACUGUAAUUUUUAGAAAACAGUUGCAUGACUUGAUAUAUUUGAGGUUGCAAUCGAUUUUAUUCAGUAGUCACUAACUGAAGUAUCGUACAUAUAUGUUCCCACAAAAGUGACUGUUAGUGAUUGAUGAAUAUUUAUUAAACUCUCCAGAUUUACUAAUGGUUUUGUUUCCAUAAUCCAUAGACAUCAACUGAGAAACUCAUCCUGUAACCCUUAAACAUUCUAGCCGAAAGAAAGACAGUUAUCAGCUCGAAAGUUCUGUUAGAUAGCUCAGAGGCCAAAACAAGGUAACGCAUAGGUCACAAAUUUCCCCCUCUAUCUCGAAAGUAGUAGCUCUUACAUAACGGAGAUUUCCAACCAUAUACUCUACUAAUUGGCCGAAUAUCCACGAUGAUCCGCAACAACCGCACCACAAAUCCACAAUUAUCCGAGCCCCGCGCCUCCGUCGAACCCACGGGCUCCAAAUCUAACGGAAACCGCGCCUAGAUCUAGCCAAAACUACCACCACAACCCCACGCCUAGUAACCGAUCGAGACGGCAAACAGCGCAAGUACGAUACCUUGGGGGGCUGGAACAGCGUGGGCGCGACAUCCCAGGCGAGCCGGGGCCGCUUGCGCGGCCGCUUGUCGGCGCCCUGGUGCGGGUACUCAGCGAGCCACUGCGCCUCCAUUGCCGGCUUCGGAACCCUAACUGGUUACUCCAUCCGCGGGGCCAGUCCGGCGACGAAUUCCGGGGGUGGAACUGGUGCGCGGUGCGGGAGGAGCCGCCGAAUCGGAGCUCAAUUUGGGGGGAGGCGUAAGAGGAAACGAAGCGGUUGAAGGAGGGACCGAGGGAGGAGGGGGGGGGGGGGGGUGAAGCUCGAGAUGGUGGUGGUGGUGGUCUGGUUGUGCUCGCGUUGCGUCCGAGGAACCCUGGUUUGGUCUGAGACCCGCGGGAGAGGCGACGCUAACUAUGGUUAGUUCAUUUUUAGCCCCGUUACAUAUCAGCCCCUGAGUUUAUGUUGUAUUCGACUUUACUAGCUGAUGCGACGCGUUUUCCGUGCGGGCUGGGCGGGUGCGAAUCUUGUGCCUGUUUUGCGGGGCCUUUCUGCAAAGUAGCGGUUGCGAAUUCCCGUCAAAUUUCGGACCCGGCCUGCCCUCUCCGCCUCCGCGGUUGGUGGGAAACGGUUUGAACUUCCAGCCGUACCUCUGCAGCUGCUUCGUUGGGCAUGCAGCAUGCUUCCGUUCUCCUCUUCUGCUCUCUCACCUUCUUCCAAUUUCAGCGUUCCUCGCAGAUGGGUAUCAUGGGGGCAUGCGCUGGAGAACUCAUGGAUAUCAUAAUUGCCUCAUGGGCUAAUGGGUUUUUUAAGCACGCCUUCAUCAGGUUCUUUUUGAGGGGGUUUUGCCUUGAAAGCUUACUGCAUUUAGAACUUGCGUUUAUAUUUGGAUGUGUUUUUGUAGCGGGUUCUGGCCUUUCGGAUGCAGAUAUCAGAGCAAGGAUUUGUGCCAUUGCUUGGCGUUUGAACUUUGAAGGCAGAAGGCACCUUCGUUGCUGCAGGUUUGCAGGUGACAGGGGACGCGGUGUUGGCGUAGAGGUUUUUAGCGGCGUCUUGGCCUACGCCUACGCGGCACCCUUGGUCCAUCGUUUGGUGCUGGUCGUUGAGAGAGAGUAGACCAGGCCAUGAUCUUCACCUAACUCCUCCAAUGAAGCGCUACUUGAUGCGUAUGCGUUCCAACCAAAACAGUCGAGUCAUUGGCGACAGAGAGCAAACUACGCACGGAUAGAUGCAUGAUGCAUCAUCCCCUGCUGCCACAUCCCUGUGAAGCAAGCUUGGUACAAGCAGAUAGCACUGGCAAAGCGUAUUUUUCUUGCAUCCGUGUGAAGUUUGGCCACGGAGGUAUCGUCUUGUAAACGUUUGAGUCACAGGUAGUCUGUUCGCUUCAGCUUAUAAGCCGGCUAAAAAGCUGAAACGGCUGAUUUGUUAUGAGAGAAAAAUACUGAUUGGUGGCUGAUAAGCCGGCUGAAUAAGCUGAAGCGAACAGGCCAAGGACCGGAAGAGCAUCAGAGGGAUCUUUUUUAUUUUGGUCCUUUUCACGAAAAAAUUUCACAAAUAGGUUCCUGGUGAAACCAAUUCCGAAAAUGGACCCUUAGCUUGGCGCCAGGAUGGCUGGCGCCAAGGUCCCCCCACCGCGCCUCCGACGUAGCGCCGCCCCACUGACGUGGUUCCAAGGCUUGGCGCCAUAGAUCUUGGUGCCGAGGCUGGCGCCAAGCCUUUUACCUUAACGGCCGCUCCUUCCUUUUGCGCAGUUUGAUUUCGCAUCUCUUCCUUUCUCAACAACCCGCGCCGGCUCCCUCGUAGUCCGCCGCCGCCGCCGCCGCAGGCGCCCUCGUCGCCCGCCGCACGCCGCCCCGGCCCGCCCGGCUCGAGCCGCACCGCCCCGCCCCGCCGGUGCCCCCCGGACGAGCCCCAGCACCCGCCGUGGCCUGAGGCCGGCCGCCCCCCGCCCUGUGCCCGCUCCCGGCUGGGCAGGCCGCCUCCCGUCCUGUGCCUGCUCCCACCAUGGUCGAAGGUAAUUAGUUGUAGUAUAAUUUAGAUAGAUAGGUUUAGAUAAAAUAGUUAUAUUGAUAAAUUAGAAUAGUUAGGUAAAAUUUAGAUAGAUAGGUAGAUAGAUAAAUUGAUUGAUAGAUAGAAUUGUUAGAUAUGAAAACUAAUAUAAUUUGGUAGGUUUUACAUAGUAAACUAGUUAUUACGAUAUUUAGUUAAGUAGUUGUAUAGUUAACUACAUAUGUACAUAUUAGGUGACAUAGUUAAUAUUAGGUGACAUAGUUAGUUAGUAUAUGUGACAUAGUUAGUUAGUUGUAUUUAGUAGUUAGUAGUCAAUUGAUACUAUCUGAUUUCAUACUAGACUUAGAAUGUUGAUUUAUUAUGGACUAAAUGAAUUGUGCGUCGUUAUAUUGAUAUACUAGAUGGAGAACGUAGUGAGCAUAUAUCACGGAGGCACCGUGGAAAGGGAUGAAUAUGGAUGUGUUAAGUUUGUUGCCAUGCAGUGCGAGGUUGUCAUAUUUGAUGAGAAACUCUCGUUUAGUGAGUUGCUUGCAAGGAUUCGGGAGGAGUUACAUUGUCAUGAAGAUGAUGAAAUCACAGUCGAGGGCAUACUUCACCUAGGUUCCCCUCUCAACAUUCAAAGGAAGAUGGUCCCAAUUGGGUGUGCAGGCUAGUGGGAAAAAUAUGUGAGGACGGUUAUGAAUGGUCAUUCCUCAAGUGUUGAAAUGGUUGUUCAUCGGGUGGGAGUUGAUCCAAAUCCUCAUCGGUUUUCCCGACCAAUGGGUCAACGGGCACACUUCGAUCCUCCCGUCCCAGAACCUAUUAUGGACGUGGAUGUUGCACCUACUAUUCCCGAUGCUGAAUCUACCCCUAAUGAAGUAGUUGGACAUGGUUGUCGGAUUGUUAAUGAUGUGGCGGACUCUCCUAAUGAGUUCCUUUUCACUCAGAAUGAUCCGAGUAAGUGUCUUACCGGUUUCUAUUGUUGAGAGAUAAUCCAUUCGUUCCAUCAAUUUAUUCUUUACUCAUAUUUGUACUUGAUGGCGCAGAAGAUAUUCCAGAAAAUGUGGAUGUGCCUCUAGUUGAUGCGCAAGUGCAAUGUGGAGAUGGAUUGCGUGGCUCUAAUAGUGCUGAAAUUUUGAAUGAUGAAGAUGCAUACGAGAUGGGAGUGGAUCUUGAUUCUGAUGAUGAUCGUCCUGUUGGAGAGAUGACAGAGAGUGAUAUUGAGAUGUUCAGGCGUAUCUUCCCUGGACAUCGUGACCGAUAGUUCACGAGUUUAGCGAUCUGACUCUUUCCGAUCAGGCGUUUGCAGAAGGACGUGAUGAUGAGCUCCUAGAAGCUCCUGAAGCUAGUCUUAGUAUGGUUAUUGAGGAGGGAAGGGUAUUUAAGGACCUUCCCGUAUUGAAGAGAUGGUUGCAAGCUUUUGCAGUAAUACGGAAGAGACCGUACAAAGUGUUGCAUUCAUAUGCGGAGCGCCGUUACACAGUUGUGUGUGACAAGGAACGGUGCCCAUGGAGGGUUUGUGCAAAGAAGCAAAAUAUCACCGGGAAGUGGAAGAUCACAAAAGUUGUCGAUCCACACAAUUGUGCUGACCAUGAGCUUAUAGUGAGACAUCCGCAGCUAACAUCUACCCUCAUUGCGAAGCGGUUGAUGGGAAUAUUGAAGGAACAACCCAACAUGAAAGUGAGAACAAUUAUCAGAACUGUUGAGGAGAUUUAUGGAGGUUAUGUGAUAACAUAUGGUAAAGCUUGGAGGGCUAAGCAGCGAGCGUGGAAGAUGAUAUAUGGGGAUUGAGAGUCUGGGUACGAGCAAUUGCCAGUGCUUUUUAAUGCAAUAAAAGCGGUGAAUCUAGGCAUGCAUUUUGAGUACAUCCCAAAGCCAAAUGCUUGGAAGGAUAGGAGGCAGAUAUUCGGGCGUGCGUUCUGGUGCUUCCCUCAGUCUGUGGAAGCCUUUAGGCACUGUCGUCCUGUUUUCUCUAUUGAUGGUAUAUUUUUGAUUGGCAAAUACAGGGGCACACUUCUUAUAGCCAUAUCUUGUGACGCGAACAAUAGUUGAUUCCUUUGGCAUUUGCAUUGGUUGAGAGGGAGAACAAUGACAGUUGGGGAUGGUUCUUAAGACUAGGCCGGAUACAUAUGGUUGGUCCUGGUAGGGAGGUUGGCGUCAUAUCCAAUAAGCACCAGACCCACCGAGGUCGUCUCAUAGCGGAAGGGCAGGUAAUAAUCUACAAUUCAUGAUUCAAGCAUUGCAAGCGUCCACGUCUUCUUUCCUAAGAAAUGUCUGACUCGGUUUGUUUGCAUGCAGGUCCUUCCGCUCCUUCGUUCUAGAGCCCAUGAUGGGUUUUUGGCGCUGCAGUACGACGACCGCUACACUCCUUUGUUAGAGAUGGCGGGCCUAGAUGUCAUCUCGUAUUAGGUUCGCCGUGUGAUGCCCAAGUUCAACUCAGCGGCUAUAACGGCGUUGGUUGACAGGUAAUACUUUAUUUCUAUUACCUCCGUUCAUAUUCAAUUUAUUAUGUCCUUACAUGUUAACAAGUAAUAAUGCUGCAAAAUGUAGGUGGUGGCCCGAGACUCACAGCUUUCACCUGCCGUUCGGAGAGAUGACAGUGACCUUACAGGACUGUCAGAAGAUGCUGGCUCUGUCGAUUCGCGGCCACGCAGUGACUGGACCGUGCGUCUCAGAGGGUUGGAGAGCACGAAUGGCAGCCUUCCUUGGGCAAGAGGUUGAGGAGCAGGGGAGUUGCACAUCUGGAGUGCUAAUCUCCUGGCUGCGGGAACACUUCGGCCAGUGCCCCCAGGACGCGUAUGCGGGGACAGUUGGGCACUAUUGCAGGGUGUGGAUCCUGCACUUGUUUGCCUGCGUUCUUUUCCCAGACGCUACAGGUGACACUGCGUCUUGGAUGUGGAUUCACUGCCUCACUGACUGGCACCAGGCACGUCUUUACAGUUGGGGAUCAGCUGUGCUGUGUUUUCUACACCGGCAGCUGUGCGAGGCAUACCGUCGGACUUCGGGCUCCGCGUUAGUUGGUGGGUGUGUCUACCUAUUGCAGUUAUGGAUGUGGGCCCGUCUUCCUGUUGGUCGUCCCGAGAUUAUGCCACGUCGACCGUGGUUCCCAGGUGAGAUGCCGAGAUGGCAGCCGACAUGGGUAUAUAUUUGGGAUUAGGUUAAGGUUAGCCAUACGAGGUUGGACCGCGCGUACCUGGAUUACAUCAAUGAGAUAGACGCGCUCACGGCUCAUAGUGUAAGUCAAAUUUUUAUUAACAUGCUUUGUAAUCUUUUAGUAUAACAACUAACAUCUUGUUUUGACAUGUUGCAGGUAAAUUGGAAGCCUUACGAAGGAGAGGACGCACUUCCUUUUACCCUUAGCUUCAUGUGUGGGUUGACGACGAUCUUUACAGGAUGAAGUGCCCUCUCAUAUGCUUCUAUGCUGUCGAGUACCACCUGCCAGAUCAAGUAGCACGACAGUUUGGGAUGAGGCAGAUUUGGCCACCACCGGUGACCUCGACUAGUGUGGAGCUACACAGGUAAGUUUUUUCGUAUUUGAAUUAUUUCAAUACCAUUAACUAAAUUUUGCCUAGCAGUAACAUGUAAUGUGACGUGCAGCGUGGAUCGUAAGAAGAAACGGAAGGUCUCUGAGUAGGCCGCGUUCCACCAGGCGUACAUUGACGAAUGGGAGAACUUCGACGAAAACAUGGACGAGAACGACGAGCCGCACACAAACAGUGAGUACAGGCAAUACCAAACUUGGUACCAAGGUGCGACGCGUCACAGGCUGAGGGCAGCGUGGACGGAAGAUGACUACACCGACAUCCAAUCAUCCGAUGAUGAAGACACGGUGUACGAUCAAAGUACUCGUGCUGGAAGGCAGGUGGAGGCAGGACCAAUCCUGGAUAGGAUGGUAAGACAAUUGCUUGACUUUUCUAUGUUCUAUGUUAAAAUACUUAGAGAUUUAGUUAGUUAGAUAAGGACUUAGUGACCAUCUGACUUAAUCAUUUAGUCAUUUAGUGACUUAGUGUGUAAGUAAGUUAAUGACUAAAUCAUUUAUUGCUUUAGUGACUUAGUCAUUUGUUGCAGGGCCGUACCCUCCAAAGCUCGGUUAGAGAUAUAGAGCAUUUCCGUCCUAGAGUUACGGACCCCGAGACGCGGAGCUUUCUAGAGGCAAUUCUCAAAUUAUUCUUUCUAAUACUUUAUUAAUACGUUACAUUCUUCUUUCGUGUAACUAGUUUUUACUACGGCAACGACUGUUAAAUCGGCUUCGCCGUGCGGCUGCUCGUUGUGGUUGCAGGAUUGCCACGACGCGAGACGUGCACGUUCCAUCCCUACGCGAAGGAGGCGUCAGUACGUCUAGCCAAGGCCCCUCAGGUUCGAAAGCAAUUGCAUCCAAGGAUGAGAACGACGACGACGACGACGAUGAGCAGAGGGCCGAGGAGCUUGGCCCGUCUCAGCUUCAGGAGGCUCCCUUAACUCAGCCUACACAGGUUGUAGGCACUAUAUUUGUUGGGGGGAAAUAUCAACGCUCCCCAAAGACAGCACUUAAAGAAGCGGACGCGGAGGCCCGGGCCCACCUAAGCGUAAUCAGAGCUCCGCCUCGCCCGACCAAGGCGCCAGGAUCGGGAGCGCCCGACCCCCCUCCGCAAAGUUUCCGCCUCGCCCGACUGCGACCCCGGGGUCGGGGGCGCCCGACCCCUCGCCACGGAGUUCCGCCUCGUCCGACCCCAAGCGAAGGGGUCGGGCGCACUGGGGCCCCCGGGGGAGGCAUCCCCCUCGGAUACGGUCCAGAUGGACAAGACAGACAAAAUCCUGUGGGUCCCCCCGUCGGCCUCGCCAUAAAUGCGCCGUAGGACUGACGGAGGGCAGGGCGACUACGCCCCUCACGCAGCCCGGCGCAAGUACCCGUGCACGACCGCUAUGUACAGGCUACAGUGCAGGCGGCCGGCUCCCAUUCGCCGCAGGGUACUCAUGGCCUGCGCCGACCGGAGCAAAGGAGAGAGCGGCCUGUCCUCGGCCCCGCAUAACCUCGGGUCCCGCGUGCCCAGCAGCACGGAUGCGACACUCUCCCUCUCAGCACCCGUCGCCUGAACAGCAGCAUCCACCGUCCUCCCCAAACGGACACUGGGGUAACGACGGAACGCCCUCAUCAUGAUCUGAUACCUACGAGCAUCGAAGUAGCUAUAUGCAGGGAGCAACAACACUUGGCACACGGCGACCACCCCCUCCGGCAUGCGCGCCGGCACUCGUCAGGGGCCGGCAGAGGCAUCGGACGCCUAGGAUCUUGCUCCUCCUUCCUGCAGCUACUUUUACCAUUCUACGCUUUACCCUUUACAGUCCUCUGAUCCGAUCCCAAAUGUAACUCCGGCCACCCCCCUUGCGGUAUAAAAGGCGGAACCCGGGGCCGGAGAGGGGAUCGGCUUUUUCUCCCUCACGCCAUAGUACACCACAACUCUCCCUGAGAGCGCAAGCACCAAAGAGACUUGGGACCAGUCCCUCUCUCGUCGAUCUGUAACCCCCUACUACAGAACCUCGCGUGGGCAACACGAACAUCCCCGAUACUGGACGUAGGGCUUCCUUUGCCCGAACCAGUCUAAAUCCGUGUCUCCCGCGCAACCACCUGAGGCUUACGCGUAUAAAAGAAAUUUACUAGUCUAAGUCUUGAUCCGCUGAUCUUGACAACGACAGUUGGCGCGCCAGGUAGGGGACCUUUGCGCGUUCAUCUCCAGCCUCAGAUGGCCAAUCGCGAUAGCAGCUUUGCUCCGGGCUCCCUGGUCCGUUUCGGGAGCCUGGACUUCCUCGCCACCGGGGAAGGGAUCGAGCUGAUCCCUGUCCUCGUCCUGCCCGCUCAUCCUGGUACCCUCGGCCCCGCUGCCAGGACAGCGGUGGGCGGCCGAUCACCUGCCAGAAGGACCUCACCAGAGGGACAGCCCUUCGGGCUACGCAACGCCGCGGGGGCUUACGGUCGCCUCCUAGCGCGGUCCUUGACCACGCUGCACGCGAGGAACGAGCUCGUAGGCACGGCGAGGACAAUCUCCGACGCUGGCUCCAGCAGCGGGAGUCCCCGCCCCUCGCGCGAGUGCCUUGUAGUCGACGCGCACUCCGAAGGGUCCAACGGUGAUGGUGCCGAGGGGAGACAACGGGCUCCCCCCUCGCGCGCCGCAGCUACAACUGGAGCCUUGCCCAGGGCCCCAGGGUGCUCUCAGCAACCAGAGGCGCACGCGGGCGCUCGCCAAGAGGUAGAGCACCCCACCACGAGGGGGGAGCGCGACAACGGGUGCGCGAUGUCCAGGAACGCAUCUGUGCGGACGGAGAGCGUCCGCCGCUCUUUGCCCGCGCUAGCCAAAACGUCGCCGCCGCGGCAGUGUUGCUCUGACAGCUCCCCGAGCCAGCGACGCCCGAGGAGCGACGGGCACGCCAGGAGAUGCGCAACCUGCUCGAGUGCGCUGCCGUCCAGCAGGCGGAAAGUUCAGCGUCUCGGCGACGCGGGCAGAACGCCAGCCGGGCGACGCAGGGCGCCCCCCGGAACGGCGGGGGGAAUCUGUCCAUUAACCCCCUCCGGGGGCUAACCAGGCCGCGUCCGCCCGACAAACCCCGCCACCCGUGGUAGGCGAGGCUCGAUCCGUCCACCAGCGCGUUGGUCUCGUCCGCGACGCCCGCGACAACCUGAACGCGCGGAGACGCUCCUGCGCGGGCAGGGAAGACGGGGCCGAUCGAGGCUACCACGUUCACCGUGGCGGGCGCUACGACAGCGGGGAAGACCGCAGCCCGAGCCCCGGAGCGGCAGGGCCUCGGGCCUUCUCCGCGCGCAUCCUAAAUGCGCCCUUUCCGCCAUGCUUCAGGCAACCCACGAGUGUAGCCAAAUACUCGGGGGAGACAAAUCCUGGAGUAUGGCUCAGCGAUUACCGGCUUGCAUGUCAAGCUGGCGGGGCGGACGAUGACCUAUUUAUCAUCCGCAAUCUACCCCUUUUUCUGGCAGACUCCAUGCGAGCCUGGCUAGAACAUAUCCCUUCAGGACGCAUCCGCAACUGGAACGACCUGAAAGAAGUUUUCGUAGGAAACUUCCAAGGGACGUACGCGCGCCCCGGCAACUCCUGGGAUCUCCGGAGCUGCCGCCAGGGGGCUGACGAGUCCCUCCGAGAUUACAUCCGGCGCUUCUCCAGAAAGCGCAUCGAGCUCUCCAAUGUCGCCGACGCCGACGUCAUAGGAUCCUUCCUAGCAGGGACCUCUUGUCGGCCCCUCGUCCACGAGCUAGGGCGCCGAGGCCCGCGAACCACGGAAGAGCUCCUUAACAUCGCCACUAGCUACGCCUCUGGCGAGGAGGCUGUCGGAGCGAUCUUCGAUCGUUCCAAAGGCAAGGCGAAACGGGAGGAGGACGCCGACGAAGGCACCUCCAACCGCCAGCAGAAGAAGAAGGGCAAGCAGCGGCGCGAGGCCCCCCUCGUGGCCGCGGUCGAGCGAAAGCGGGGGCAGCCGCCCCCCGAGGGCGCUCCCGGCUUGUUCGACAAACUGCUCGAGGGACCGUGCCCGAACCACGAGUUCCCCGUCAAGCACACCUACAAAGACGGUAACCUCAUGAAGAGGUACUUUGUGGGCAAUCCGGUGAAAGGUGACCGGAAGCGGAAGCCCGACGAGGAAAAGAAGGGCGACGAAGAGAAGGAAGACGGCUUCCCUAAAGUUGACGGCUGCUUCAUGAUCUUCGGGGGCUCCGCUGUGUACGACACCAAGCGCCAGCAAAAGCUGGAGCGCCGGGAGGUUUACGCGGCCGAGCCUGCGACUCCGGCUUUCCUCGAUUGGUCCGGACCGGCCAUCACCUUCGAUAGGUCCGACCACCCGGGACGCGUCCGGCAUCCAGGGCGCUACCCACUCGUCGUCGACCCUAUCGUCGGUACGACGCGCCUCACCAAGGUGCUCAUGGAUGGAGGCAGCGGCCUCAACCUCCUCUACGCCGAGACUCUCGACGCUAUGGGGAUCGACCGCUCCCGCCUCAGUCCCAGCGCAGCACCCUUCCAUGGCGUCGUGCCAGGGAAGCAGGCGACGCCUCUUGGGCAGAUCGACCUGCCCGUCACGUUUGGGACCCCUUCCAACUACAGGAAGGAGGUCCUCACCUUCGAGGUGGUAGGGUUUCGCGGAACCUACCAUGCCAUCUUGGGACGGCCAUGCUACGCGAAGUUCAUGGCAAUCCCCAACUACACCUACCUCAAGCUCAAGCUGCCAGGGCCCAACGGGGUCAUCACCGUCAGCACAACCUUCCAGAAGGCAUUCGAGUGCGACGUCGAGUGCUGCAAGUACGCCGCAGCCAUCACCGUCUCGGGCGACAUGGCGGUCCAGCUUGCGGAGGCGAUCGAAGACCAGCCCGACGCCAAGCAGUCGGGCACCUCCUUUGAGCCCACCGAAGGUAUCAAAGAAGUCCCUCUCGAUCCCGGCUGUUCCAAUGGUGGGGUUGUGCGGAUCAGCGCGGCCCUAUCCCCCAAAUAGGAAAGCGCGCUCGUCGACUUCCUUCGCGCGAACAGCGACGUCUUCGCGUGGAAGCCCUCGGACAUGCCAGGCAUCCCGAGAGAAGUCGCCGAGCAUUCCUUGAACAUCAGGGCCGGCUCCAAACCAGUGAAGCAAGGCUUGCGCCGUUUCGACAAAGAAAGGCACAGGGCCAUUGGUGAAGAACUCCAGAAGCUCCUGGCGGCCGGGUUCAUCAAGGAAGUACGCCAUCCCGAGUGGCUAGCCAAUCCUGUCCUUGUACCGAAAAAGAACGGGAAAUGGAGGAUGUGUGUCGAUUAUACCGGUCUCAACAAAGCGUGUCCAAAGGAUCCGUUUCCUUUGCCACGCAUAGAUCAAAUAGUCGACUCAACCGCCGGGUGCGAAACCCUCAGCUUCCUCGACGCAUAUUCCGGCUAUCACCAGAUCGCGAUGAAAGAGGUCGACCAGCUCGCUACCUCCUUCAUCACCCCCUUUGGUCCCUACUGCUACGUUAAGAUGCCAUUCGGCCUCAAAAACGCGGGGGCUACCUUCCAGCGAUGCAUGCUGAAGUGCUUCGGAGAUCUCAUCGGGCGGACCGUUGAGGUCUACGUCGACGACAUCGUUGUUAAAUCCAGGAAGGGCGACCAGCUCAUUCCCGACCUGGAGCUAGCCUUCGAAAGACUGAGGGAUAAGCGAAUCAAGCUCAAUCCCGAGAAAUGUGUGUUCGGUGUCCCAAGGGGCAUGCUGUUAGGCUUCAUCGUCUCUGUGCGCGGCAUCGAGGCGAACUCGGAGAAGAUAGCGGCCAUCAGCGACAUAGGGCCGAUCCGGAACAUAAAGGGAGUACAGCGCGUCAUGGGGUGCUUAGCAUCCCUAAGCCGCUUCAUCUCGCGCCUCGGCGAGCGAGGACUUCCUCUCUAUCGGCUCCUGAAGAAAUCCGACCGCUUCGAGUGGACCAGCGAGGCACAGGAGGCACUUGACCGACUCAAGGACCUCCUGACGAAGGCCCCAAUUCUAGUUCCGCCCGCCGACGGCGAGACCCUUCUGCUCUACGUCGCGGCGACCACCCAGGUGGUCAGCGCGGCCCUAGUAGUGGAGCGGGAGGAGGAGGGGCACGCUCUUAAGGUACAACGCCCGGUGUACUUCAUCAGCGAAGUCUUGUCCGAGUCCAAGGCACGAUAUCCGUAGAUCCAGAAGCUCGUCUACGCCGUCCUCAUCACGAAGAGGAAGCUGCGUCACUACUUCACCUCCCACCCAGUAACAGUCGUCUCUUCAUUCCCGCUUGGAGAAGUAAUCCGGAACCCAAAUGCAACAGGAAGGAUCGCGAAGUGGGCGCUUGAGCUUAUGGACCAGGGUAUCACCUACGUCCCCCGCACCGCCAUCAAAUCCCAGGUAUUUGCUGACUUCGUGGCCGAGUGAACGGAGGCACAAGCACCGUCGGCAACAAAGGAGCAGGAGUACUGGACGAUGUACUUCGACGGGUCACUGAUGAGGGCCCGCGCCGGAGCAGGCCUUGUCUUCGUCUCUCCGUUGGGCGUGCGCAUCAGGUACAUGAUCCGCCUCCAUUUUCCUGCAUCCAACAAUGUCGCUGAGUAUGAAGCCUUACUCAACGGGCUCCGCAUCGCCAUCGAGUUGGGCAUCCACCGGCUAGACGUCCGGGGCGAUUCCCAGUUGGUCGUCGAGCAAGUCAUGAAGGAGUGGAGCUGCCACGACCCUAAAAUGGCAGCUUACUGCAACGAGGUCCGUAAGCUCGAGGACAAGUUCGACGGGUUGGAGCUCAACCACGUCGCAAGGCGCUUCAACGAGGCCGCUGACGAGCUGGCGAAGGCGGCGUCCGGCCGGAUGCCCGUCCCCGACGGCGUUUUCGUUAGCGACCAGCUGAAGCCUUCAAUCCGUUAUCUGGAGCCAGCAGGGGUCGGCGAGGCAUGCCCAGCCCUGGGGUCGGGACCCGAGCCGGGGGAGGUCGGCAGCGCGCCACCUGUCCCGGACCCGAGCACCGGUCCCGAGGAAAUCAACGCUGCCUUGCCCGACCCGGCCCUGGAAGCCAAGCCAUCCGACCCCGUGGUUAUGGAAAUCGCGGUGGGCCCCGCGGCGGGGGCCGACCCCCCGGCCGACUGGAGAGCCCCGUACCUCGACUACCUUGUCCGCGACACGCUCCCGGCCGACAAAACAGAAGCCCGCAGGAUUGCGCGCCGUGCGAAAUCCUUCACCAUCAUCGACCAGGAGCUCUACAAGAGAAGCCACACUGGGAUCCUCCAGCGCUGCAUCCCGAUCGAGCAGGGAAAGAUGCUGAUCCAGGAUAUCCACGCCGGGGCUUGUGGUCACCACGCUGCGCCAAGGACGCUUGUUGGCAACGCCUUCCGACAAGGUUUUUACUGGCCAACCGCGGUCGCGGAUGCUACCCAGGUAGUCCGCACCUGUGAAGGAUGCCAGUUCUUUGCCCGCCAAACUCACCUGCCCGCGCAGGCGUUGCAAACCAUCCCCAUCACGUGGCCGUUCGCGGUCUUGGGGCUGGAUCUCAUCGGACCCUUCAAAAGGGCGCCCGGGGGCUUCACCCAUCUGCUCGUCGCUGUCGACAAGUUCUCCAAAUGGAUCGAAGCAAGGCCAGUGGCGCAAAUCAUGUCUGAGCAAGCGGUACAGUUCUUCACCGACAUCAUCCACCGCUUCGGGAUCCCAAACUCCAUCAUCACCGACAACGGCACGCAAUUCACUGGGAAGAGAUUUCUUCAGUUCUGCGACGACCACCACAUUCAAGUGGAUUGGGCGGCAGUGGCGCACCCCCGCACGAACGGGCAAGUCGAGCGGGCCAACGGCAUGAUACUCCAGGGUCUCAAGCCACGGAUCUUCGACCGCCUUAAAAAGUUCGGCGGACGGUGGGUUGCGGAGCUCCCAGCAGUCCUCUGGAGCUUGAGGACGACCCCCAGCCGGGCGACAGGAUUCACCCCGUUCUUCAUGGUCUACGGGUCAGAGGCCAUCUUGCCCACCGACCUAGAGUACGGGUCGCCAACGGUCAAAGCAUACGACGAACAGGGAAACCAGGCGUCACUCGAGGACGCACAAGAUCAACUCGACGAGGCGCGAGAUGUAGCCCUACUACACUCAGCUAAGUACCAGCAGGCCCUACGGCGUUACCACAGCCGCAGGAUACAAGGCCGCGCCUUCAACGUCGGUGAUUUGGUGCUCCGCCUCGUACAAGAUAACAGGGGUCGGCACAAGUUGACUCCCCCAUGGGAAGGCCCGUUCAUCGUUGCACAAGUGCUACGGCCAGGCACCUACAAGCUGGCAACUCCCGACGGGCAAAUCUUCAGCAACGCCUGGAACAUAGAACAGCUAAGGCGCUUUUACCCAUAGCUUUUACUUCCAAGUUAUGCAUAGUCUUGCUGUCUUUUCUGUUCUUUCCUUUAAAGCUCAGGGGCCUCCGACCCUGGCCUCGUUCCAGGGUCGCAUACCCCUCGGGGGCUACCAGUUUUGUUCUUCUGCGAAAAAAGAAACCCUGAGCCACCUUGGCUCAGGUCCUUUCGUUUAAGCUCAGGGGCAUCCGACCCUGGCCUCGUCCCAGGGUCGCAUACCCCUCGGGGGCUACCAGUUUUGUUCUUCUGUGAAAAAAGAAACUCUGAGCCACCUUGGCUCAGGUCCUUUCGUUUAAGCUCAGGGGCAUCCGACCUUGGCCUCGUCCCAGGGUCGCAUACCCCUCGGGGGCUACCAGUUUUGUUCUUCUGCGAAAAAAGAAGGCCUUUUCCUUUAAGCUCAGGGGUAUCCGACCCUGGCCUUGCUCCAGGUCCGCAUACCCCUCGGGGGCUAUCAGGGGUCCCGACCCCAGCCGCAGGGCGCCAUCUAAAAAGAAAAUGCCUUUUCUUUUUUCAAAACCGAACACUCCCUUUCGAAAACCUUUGGAUGCAAAAAAGAUAAGGAUGCGUGAACGGUACUCAGGCAAGUUGCGAUCAGACCGCGGAAAAACCUACGCCCCAGUGGCUAUGGCACCUUCGCUCAUCAAAAACUUACUGACGCACCCGGCAACGCAUCCUAAAGCUUUCAAGCCCAAAGGAAUAACAAAGGGAAUCGGGUUCUUUUGUGCAAACAAAGAGUUAUAAGAACAGGCCCGUAUGGCCAACGCAAACGAGUUCAAAAGGACUGACAUAAGUACAAACUUUUUGGGCGCGAGCCCGGUACAGCUAAUUCGCAGAAGGGUCGGCAGGAGCGGUGGCUUCAGGGUCGGCAGGAGCGGCGGCUUCAGGGUCGGCAGGAGCAGCGGCUUCGGGGUUGGCAGAAGGGCCAGCCUCAGGGUCGGCAGGAGGGACGGCUUCAUCCUCCAGGAGCUUCGCGAGGGCCUCCGUCGGCACGGUCACCCCGGCGUCGAUCUCGUCCAGCUCGGCUUCGGUGUAGCCGGCGCAGUACCCUUCACUCAUCCCAGCAAAGUUAAUGCCGGAAUAGUGAGAGCCGAAGACCCUGAAGGCUCGCCGCAUGCCAAGACGAAGCGCGUCCACGGCGAUCUCGCGACGGCGACGGCGCACCUCGAGGACACGAGCUGGCAGAGAGCUCGAUCCCUCCUCCGGAACCACACCGAAGUCCUCGCAGACGACGCGGACCGCAUCUCACAGCGCGCCGUGCUCGCCACGCUCCUCGUCAAGCAGAGCCCGCAAAUUGGCGAUCUCGCCUGCAGAAGCCACCCAAAAAAUCCCACCGAGUCAAAAGAGCAGAACUCAAAUGACACAAGAACGCAGGAACGGAAAGAACCUCACCGUCGGCCUGGGCCUUCAGCUCGCGCUCCCGGUCGGCGCUGCGGGACAAGGCGGACUUAAGCCCCUGCACUUGCAAACGGAGUUGAUCGUUCUCCGUGCGGAGGGCUCCACCCUCCCCCCUCAGCCACGCCAGCUCCUCGGCGUCGCGGCGGGCCCUCUCAGCAGCAGCGGCUUUGAGCCCCUCGGCAUCGCGGCGGGCCCUUUCCACGACGGCCUAGAACUCCUCGAGGUCGAGGCGGGCCUUCUCGGCGACGGCCUGGAGCCUGGCCUCCGCACGCCGCGCCUCCUCUAACGCCGCCUGCUCACGCCCCUCCAGGUCGUGGACGGCCCCCUGGGCAGCGCCAAGCUGCAGAGACAUGUCCCUGGUGCGCUCCCUUUCGGUGUUGAAGCGCUCCUAGAGACCCUGCUGCCACCGGAGGAAAUCAGAUUUCCCCCGGCUGCCCUCCUGGAGAGCCUGCAGAGCAAUACGCCGUUUAAGGCAAAAAAGGCAAAGAGGAGGUAAGCAUCACCAAGCAAUAGGAAUAACAUACCUGGCUGCCAGGGACCACGGUGUUGGCCAGAACUCCCAGCACCGAAGUCAGCGCCGCCUGAACCUGGGCGACGCCACCAUGCAUCGACUGCCACCUAUGCCACUCGGCGGCGUCAUCCAGCGCGAAGAGGUGCCUCGGCGGGUCAUCGCGGGAUGACCAGCGGAGGAUGGACCCUCUCCACACCCUCGGGACGGAGGAAGCCGAGGUUGGGACAGGGGCUGACCCCGACGUCGCCGUCGAGGACGGCACCACGACGCUAGAGGCCACUGGAUCCGCCGACGGCCCCGGCGCCUGCAUACUCAUCGCCGCCGAGGCCGCCAACGGUACCCCUGUGGGCACCUCCACCUCAGCCGCCAGCGUCACUCCCGCGGGGGUGACCGGGGCGGAGGCCCCUGCCUCCGUCAUGGCUGCCUCUGCCGCCGCCGCGUCUCCGGGAGCAGGCGCCCCCUCCGCCUCUGACCCCCCCCCCCACGGCGGCGGGGGUAUCCGCCCUACCUCCCGUCGCCACCGCCUCCUCUGCCUCGUCGGCGUCGAGGUCGAUCACCUCCCCGGCCUGAGGGCCCGAGGGGACCACGCCCCGAGCCGGAGGGGCGGUCGGUGGGGCCGAAGGCGGAGUGGAGUCCGCUCCCCCUCCCGCGGCUGACGCCGCCGCCGCUCCGCCAGCCGCCUCCGCCGGGGCCACCUCCGCGGGGGGACCUGCGGCCACACCAGGAACCCCGCCGCUCGCCGCUGGCGGGGCCCCGGCCCGCCCCCCGGAGGAGGUCGACGUCCGCAGCGCCUUCUUGGGCGCCAGCUGCAGGGUGAGGCCACGGGGAGAAGUGCUGCACAUCGACGGCCAAGCGUCAGUGGAAAUGAACGAAAAAAGAGGAGAAGAAUGACACAUAGGAAAAGCCAACUUACGCCCUCAAAGCGCAGGGGCGGCGCGCGCGCUUCGACUCAGAGCCGGACGCCAACCCCGGGGCAUCUGGCAGCGGCCGCUUGUCGCCGCCUCGCUGCUCUCCACCGGCGGGCACGGCGGAGGAGGCAGGCUCCACGGACCCCCGAGGAGCGCCCCGAGCGGACUCCUGGGGAGCGCCCCGCGCCGGACCCAAGGUGGCGGCAGGAGCAGGCUCUGAAGACCCCCGAGGGGCGCUCCGUGUCGACACCGGGGGAGCAUCCCUUGCCGACCCCGGGGGAGCAGCCCGCACCCGCUGCUGGGGGACGCCCGGUGCCGACCCCGGGGGAGCGGCCCGCGCCCGCUCCUGGGAGACGCCCUGAGCCGACCCCGAGGGGGCGCCCCGCGCCCGUUCCUGGGGGACGCCCUGCGCCGACCCCUGGGUGGCGUCCGCACCUACUCCCGGGGGACGCCCUGCGCCGACCCCUGAGGGGCGGUCCGCGCCAGCUCCUGGGGCGCGCGCUGUGUUGGCCCCUGAGGCACAACCCCAGGGCCCGGGGGAGCCAGAGCCCGGGCGGACGCUUCCGCCGCUUCACCCCCCGCGGCCGUCUGCGGGGACGCAUCACGAAUCACCAAAGCCCCCGAGCGGGGGAGAACCAACUCUUCCACCUCUUCCUCUUCCUCAUCUUCAUCCUCUUCAUCUUCUUCGUCGUCGUCGUCGUCGUCGUCUGACACGACCGCCCCCCUCCGCCGCCGCUGGAGCUCCUUGGCGGCCUUCUUCCGCUUCCGCGCCGUCUCCUUGUCCUUGCGGCGCUUCUGCGCCUCGGCAUGGAGACGGUUGCGAGCCCUCCGCUCGGCAUCUUCCGGCACCGGCGGGAGGGAGUCCGCGACCCGGGUUAGCGAGCCCUGCAAGCGCCAAACGGCUCCGCAUCAGAAACAGCAAAUAGCAAAAAAGAAAAGAAAAACGAUGUCCCAACUCCCUACCAGGUCUACGAAGCCCGGCUCCGGGCGCAUCGGCGGAUGCCCGGGGAUCGGGUAGUCGACGUCCCUGUCCUCCAGCGCCUCCCGGAGCCGUUGCCGGAUCUCGGAGGCGGCAAGCGCACCCGUCGCCAGGGCGGUGCCCUCGGGCGGCGCAUCGGGGGUCAUGGCGCCAAGCGGCCGGACCCGGAGCAUCGGCGGCGCCACCCGCCUGGCGUGGUACGCGCUGAUGACCCCGGUGCCGGUGAGCCCGCUCCGCUUCAGCUGCUCGAUGGCCUGCAGCAGGACGGAGAGCCGCUUGUUCUCCUUAUCCACCGGCCCGUACGCCCAUACCUCGGGCGCCGCGUCGAUGGUGCGGCCGGUGAAGACCGGAAGGGGGGAAUCCGGGUAGUUCUUCACGUAGAACCACUGAUUAUGCCACCCCUUGUGGGACACCAAGGUCUUCACCGUCAUGUACUCCUUGGAGCGAGUGUGACGGAGAUGGAUCCCGGCGCACCCGAUCGGCACCGGAGGCGACCGCUGCUGGCUCCUGGCCUUCCCCGCCUUCUGGUACAGACUCACUGUAAAGAAGUAAUUCCACAGCGCGAAGUGGGGCUCAAUGCCCAGGAAUCCCUCGCACAGCACGACGAACACCGCGAUAUGCUGGAUCCCGUUGGGGUUGAGGUGCUGGAGCUCGAGCCCGUAGUGGUGGAGGAGCCCGCGGAAGAAGCGGCUUGGGGGAGAAACGAAUCCCCGCUCGUGGAAGUGGGCGAAGGAGACGACGUAGCCGGCGGGAGGCGACGGAACCUGCUCCGGCCCCGGCAGCUCCCACUCACCCGCCUCCGUCCUCUCGCAAAGGAGCCCCUUCCGCACCAGGCCCUCGGCACGGGAGGAGGUAAAGUGAGAAACUCCCCAGGAAGCCAUCACCGGAGGAAGGAGGAGAUCGAUGGAGAUGGAAGAAGAGCGCGCGGCUUGGGGCGAAGGGAACGAGGCGAGCGCGGAUGAACUAGGCGGAAGGCAAGAAGGCUCGAGUGCGAAAGGAGAGAGGAACCGACGCGACGAGCUCCUGCUUUUAUAGGAAAAGUACAUGGGAAGCCAAAUCGACGCCCCGGCCGCCAUAAAUGCGGCGCCAGGUACGCCCCUGCCACGCCCGUUUCCUUUUCGAAAACCGCGCGCACGAUCGGCUGCGAAAACAUCCUAUCUUCCUCGAUUCGCGGGACGGCGCUUCCAUAACUCCACUUCCCGGGUAACGCGCCCACGACGCCCCCCACGUUCGGCCCAGGCGCAACAACCGCUCCACUCCGGCCCAAAGGCCCACAGGAGGUAAGAAAGGGAUACGGGGCUGAAAACGCCUCUACGGCCCAUUACGGUCCAGAGGUUCGAAAGCUGGCCCGACACGGGUUCGACAGCUGCCUCAGGACAUCCCCCGAGCAAGGGGUGAGAAGGGGCGGGUCCGCUAGCGGCCAAUACCCAGGCAAGCGAAAGCCAAGGGCGCCCCAACCUCACGUUCGAGUCCCGCCUGGUAUAAAGUUCAUGGUUUUUCCACGGGGAAAGGCAACGAGCCCCCAGAUCCAGUCGAACGGAUCCGGGAACUAUAUGAACUGGCCGGCGGGAAAUUGGAGUACGCCACCAGCUUGGCCCGAGCCGGACCGCCCCGAAUGGGGACCGGGACUCCACUCGAACUUACCCGUUUGCAGCUCAAACGAGCACCACGGUUCGUCCAACGCGGAUAACGUGGCCCGGCUCAACCCCUCCGUCCUAGCGAACGGACGCUUGAGGGGCAGCGAUCAAAAAGUCGACCUAGCCUCCCGAUCGGUUUCCUGCAACGAGCAGGAGCUCGGGGGCUAGCCUCGCAACCAACUACCACGCGUGUGGUCACAAAUUGCAGGUUCCCUCAGCCCGGCUGAGAUAAAGCAAGCACGCCAUAGACACAGAGCCCGCGCGAAACAGUAAAAGAAGCCUCCGGAGGAGCACUCCUGCUCCACCACAGGCUUGGGGGCUACUGUUGGGGGGAAAUAUCAGCGCUCCCAAAAGACAGCACUUAAAGAAGCGGACGCGGAGGCCCGGGCCCACCUAAGCGUAAUCAGAGCUCCGCCUCGCCCGACCAAGGCGCCAGGAUCGGGAGCGCCCGACCCCCCUCCGCAAAGUUUCCGCCUCGCCCGACUGCGACCCCGGGGUCGGGGGCGCCCGACCCCUCGCCACGGAGUUCCGCCUCGUCCGACCCCAAGCGAAGGGGUCGGGCGCACUGGGGCCCCCGGGGGAGGCAUCCCCCUCGGAUACGGUCCAGACGGACAAGACAGACAAAAUCCUGUGGGUCCCCCCGUCGGCCUCGCCAUAAAUGCGCCGUAGGACUGACGGAGGGCAGGGCGACUACGCCCCUCACGCAGCCCGGCGCAAGUACCCGUGCACGACUGCUCUGUACAGGCUACAGUGCAGGCGGCCGGCUCCCAUUCGCCGCAGGGUACUCAUGGCCUGCGCCGACCGGAGCAAAGGAGAGAGCGGCCUGUCCUCGGGCCCCGUGUACCCUCGGGUCCCGCACGCCCAGCAGCACGGAUGCGACACUCUCCCUCUCAGCACCCGUCGCCUGAACAGCAGCAUCCACCGUCCUCCCCAAACGGACACUGGGGUAACGACGGAACGCCCUCAUCAUGAUCUGAUACCUACGAGCAUCGAAGUAGCUAUAUGCAGGGAGCAACAACACUUGGCACACGGCGACCACCCCCUCCGGCAUGCACGCCGGCACUCGUCAGGGGCCGGCAGAGGCAUCGGACGCCUAGGAUCUUGCUCCUCCUUCCUGCAGCUACUUUUACCAUUCUACGCUUUACCCUUUACAGUCCUCUGAUCCGAUCCCAAAUGUAACUCCGGCCACCCCCCUUGCGGUAUAAAAGGCGGAACCCGGGGCCGGAGAGGGGAUCGGCUUUUUCUCCCUCACGCCAUAGUACACCACAACUCUCCCUGAGAGCGCAAGCACCAAAGAGACUUGGGACCAGUCUCUCUCUCGUCGAUUUGUAACCCCCUACUACAGAACCCCGCGUGGGCAACACGAACAUCCCCGAUACUGGAUGUAGGGCUUCCUUUGCCCGAACCAGUCUAGAUCCGUGUCUCCCGCGCAACCACCUGAGGCUUACGCGCAUAAAAGAAAUUUACUAUUCUAAGUCUUGAUCCGCUGAUCUUGACAACGACAAUACUACGUCGCCCAUGUUCUCCUUACACUCCAGGAACCGACGCCCUUGGUCACAAGGGUAAGGGUAAGACUAGGAGGCAGUGACGGUUUUUAUUGCGAACUUUGUAUUAUAUGAACUAUUUGUAUAUAUGGACUUUCAUUCUGAACUAUUGUGGAUUCUAUUAUGAAUGUGUCAUAUGUUUAUAUGCUUGUAUGUUUGUAUUUAUAUUCACUAUUCAUCUCGUAAUUUUGUAUGGAUUGCAUCAAAAAGUAGGGAAAAUUCUUCCGAAAUUUCGCUAACAAGUACCCUUUUUAUUUUCUGCGGGAAUUUCACUAGACUACAACUUCGAAGUGCAUUACAUCGCAAAGUAAACAUAGGUCAUCUACAAAUUGUGUGUCCAUACUUAAAGUGCAUUAUUACAUGACAACAUAAUAAAAGUCUCACAGUAGAAAAUAUUGUUCAUAAAUAAACCAUAGAACUAGAACCUAAAUAUGGCUACUGAGUGCAACGAGGCCACUUUCCCUUCCUUAAGGCAUCGGGAUUAUCCUCAACCGCUGCUUUCGCUCGGCGUGCCCGCUCAAGCUUCUUCUCUCUCUCCUCCCUGUUCGCAGCAACCCGCCUCCUUUCCUCCUCUUCCUUGUGCUCCUUUUCCGCAGCCUCCUCUAUGAGUCUUUUCUCGUACACCUCCUUCCUCUCUGCAUCCUAGCGCAUCAUAUACUCCAAAAACUCCUUGUCUUCAGGAUUGAUCUCAGUGUCGACCCACUGCUCAAAAUCACAUAGCGGUGGAGGGGUCUACAACAAAUGCAAUUGUUAUAAAACAAAAAAAUUAUGGACAAUAAUUAUAAGACAACAAAAAUUCCUUACCAACAUGUUAAUCCGGCGCUGACGAAGUGUAGGUUCAAAUGCAAAGUUGGAACACAUCUAAUACCUCUGCCUAUACGUGGCAUGUUCAUCGGACUUGGCUACCUUGCAAGGAUCGCCGCAAAAGUACAUCGGCACUGGAACACCACUAGGCAGAGGCAAUUGAUCGAAGGUAUUUCCGGUCUUCUUGGCGCCAUAACUACAAUUUAGUUUAUUUCGUUCUAUGAAUCAAACGCACUUAACAAUAAACCUACAAUUAAGGUUUUUUCAUUUGAUCCACAACAAUGAGCAUAUAACAUAACUACGUGCGCUGAGAUUACCUUAGUUUCUUAACUUUUCCAUGCCUCGGCAUCCUACAUUUGCAUGAAACCCUAAGUUCAAAAAUGCAACAAAUAUAUAGCGAAUCGAUGCGAAAAAAAGGUACGAGGGAGAGAGGAUACCUUGCUCUUCAGGAUCCACGGAUCAAAUGAAAGUUUCCUAAGCUACAAUGUCGAUUCGUAGUCUAGGGCGAAGUAGGGAGAGUAAAAACCCGAGAGAGUCGAGAAGAAUGAGGAGGAACUCUCGAGCAGGAAGAAGGGUGGCGGUAUAUGUAGGGAGGCUUGACGUCAAGAUCUAUGGCGCCAAGCCUCGGCGCCACGUCGGAGGCGCGGGCGCCAAGACGUUAUAGCUUCCUGACGCCAAGCUAAGGGUCCAUUUUUGAAAUUGGUUUCGCCAUGGGUCUAUUUAUGAAUUUUUUCGCGAAAAGGGCCAAAAUAAAAAAAAAGCCGGGCAUCAGAGCUGCCAAAUUCAUGCCGGUGCCGGGCAGAGGUGCCAUGCCGCGCCAAUGCCAUCGGACUGCCGAAGCAAAACGCAGCAUGGCACGGGUAGCACCAUGCUGCAGUUGGCAAGUGGCAAACAGCAAAUUUUGCCGGAGACACGCAGAAUUGGGCAUCGAUGCGUGCCGGAACCAGUGUCCUCUCCUUUCCCGAAAGGUCACCCUAGUUAGGCCAGCCUGAGGCUGAGAAACUUCGCUUUUCUACCAAUAAACACAUGUUUUUCCUGAGGGUUUGAGCUUGUUGCGCUGCUACAAGCUAAAAAAUGGCACGCGCCGAACUUUGCCACCAUGACAAGCUGACAGUGACGCCUCAUGCCUGUUGCGCCGCAUCGAAAGGCAGCGUGAAAGAAUUGCACGAAGCCGUCAGAGUCCAUCACCGUUCUGGGCCUUCUUUCCGGUGAGCCUUGAUCGCGUUUCUUGCGAAUUGCGAUCCGUGGUGACUGGUGGUUUCACUCUCGCCAAAAGACAAAUAGUAACAGUGAUGAGGCAUCUAAUCUCAGAGAGAAGCGGCCAUCCGAUCAUCACGCUCACCAAUCUGCGAUGUACAAGCGGGUUCGUCGGUAGUUCGUGACCUGCCAAGGCCAAUUCUGCCACGCUGGGACAAUGGACAGCCAAGAAUUUUCACAAGUACGCGUGCUUCUUCCUGCCGAGUGCCGACCAUAGUUCAGACGCCCCGAGCCCCGAGGGCGCCCGGCCGAGACGUUGCCGCGACGCGGCGUGCUCGCAGGUCGCAGCAUCCACGAAAAAGGACUUGGCCAGUUGUUCACAUCACACUCGGUGAAUCGCAUCGCACAAUACGCGCGCGCCGCCGGUUCUGCUGCAUCCGCAUGGGGUCCAUGCCCGCCACCGCCUGGCGUCUGGACAGACGCCUCCACCAGCACAAGCGACCGAGGCCCCAUGCGGGCUGCGGCCCUGCUCGCGGAGGCGCAACGCGGGUUCGUCAUCCAUGGCCGGCACUGCCCUCGCGGAGGGAGAGGGUGCGCCACCGUGCCGGCGCAUCGCAUGCAGUGGUGGACGUGGACGCGCGCGUACUCUGCCGCCCUAGGGUACUGCGACCGCCUGCGUGGACAGUGUCAGGCUGCAGCGUACGAGCUGUUCCAGACUUCCAGCGCCUCAGAGUCUCGGACUCAGUGUCAGAGCCCACCACCUGCAGAGUGCAGACACGCCAUGGCUUCGGAUAGCCUAGCUUAUUAGCUUCAGCAGGAUGCACAUUUGAAGUUACGGGUAGCUUCAGCCUUCAGCAGAAUGCUGACUGCACAUUUGAAGAGCCGCUUGCAGGCUGGUCGAUUGUAUACACAAAGAGGACCAUGUUUGAAGGCUGUGGCCUGGAUUACUCCAUUGUAACCUGAGACGCUGAAGCUGAAGAUUUUUUUUUAUUUACUUCUAGAUCAAGAACAAAGAAGGCAAGUACAGAUUGCAUUGAUAUAGAGAAGACGCAUCGAUACAUCGCGAGACUCAACGACAGCACAGCACAGGACAGAACACCGCCACUUCCUUCUGCACCUAAACGACCCCAAGAAGGAGAGAACAACCGGAGGAACGUACCAGCUGCUACAAACCACACGCCACCGGAUGCGGUCUGUCUCUACGCGCCGUACUUGUAGCUCCCGAUGUCCUCCGAGAUCAUCUCGAGGUCCCUGGAGGCCACGGCCAUGGACAUGGCCCGCCGGUGGCGCCCCGCCUGCCUGGCCGCCUGCAGCUCCGAGGCGUCCGCCGCCGCGGGCUUCCGCUGCUCGGCGCCGCCCUCCGCCACCGCCGCCGGCACGUCCUCCAGCGCGAAGUUCUCCGGGAGCACGAACACGCUCUGCGACGCCCGCCUCUGGUGCCUGCCCGCUCUCUGCGACAUCUUUGCGGCGCUCAACAACACCUACAACGACAGGGCUUGGCCUCGUGCGGCUGUUUCCACUAGGCAGAGGAAAGAGUGCUCGAGCUACCUGCUUGGGAGCUAAGGACGAGGUGGCUGCUAUAUAUAGCCUGCCCGGCGCAUGCUCGAGGUCGGGGAAGGAAAAUGUUUUCCCAUGACACUUCAUGAGUCAUGACCAUGAGCAGUUCAGCAUCUCACCAGUACAGAAUUGUACAGUAAUUUGUACGUUCACACCGCCGGCCUAUGCGUACACGGAUCUGACAUCCUGACAGUUUCUGCUUCCCGAGGGCGCUGACUUGUGGCAGAUGCAUGUGCAGACGUGCGUCUGCAUGGCCCUCCAGCAUUUCGUCAGGCUCUCCCCUGAAUCCCUGAUCGCGAGAGGAAAUGGCGUCUUGCUGAAUGGGCGCUCAUCUGGCGCCUCAUCAGGAUCUACAUCACCGCAUCAGCGUGCGAUCUCUGCAGCCAUGGCUGCUGAGCUCAACUUGGGCCUGCAAGCUGCGAUCAACUUGGCACGUACUGUCUGCUGACUUGCCUGGCGAGUGCAGGGCAUAUGAAUUUUCUGCUCGUAUACGAUGUCUCCAGGAAGCUUCCUGCUAGGUAAAACAAAUGGUGUUCGUGAAGCGUUUGUACCGGAAUCUUAGGACCGAGCCCGCCAAUUUUAUUGGGUAAGUGCUGCACUCAUGAUCCAUUCUGGCGUUGUUAACUGAGACCCCACGUGCAAACCGGGAGAAGGAAUCCGCCAACGAAACCAAUCACAGAGGAAGGAGGAGUAAUCACCAGUUCAUAAAGAAGUGUGCCGGUACGGAUCGAAAUCCUGCCUAACGGUUUCUCAUUGCAAGUUUCUGAUAACAUUAUUAGCUCGAUAUAUCGACUAUUUCAGGUUUUCAGUGCUAGCAAAUCUGCAACUGAUUUGAUUGCAUAUAUCCCUCACUCAGUUUACUCUCUUAUCACAACGGAAUCUCUCUCUUUUUUCAUAUUGUUUUCUGUACUACGCCCUGAUCGAGCUGGAUGCUUAUGCAACCAGAAAAGAAUCGAUAAGGCCAGUGGUGUUUAACUGUUAAAGAUGGCACCCGUGCAUGUUAGUAGAUUCCAAAAUCCUGGCCCUCGUGUCCAGCCUCACAUGGGCUGCUCACAUGGCUCCAUCGACCGGGCCAUGAUAAGCCCACCCUUGUACAAAUUAUUGGUGUCCCCUCCGCGCUCGUGUGCAUCGCCAUAAUGUGUGAGAAUAAAACAAGAUACACCUCAGCAUUCCCAACGUCCUGAAUAAGAAAAGGUACUGUAUUGUACUGUAUUUUCCUAGAAAAAAGUUCAUUAAAAUGCUAAAAAGUUAAUAAUGGGUAUAUAUGCUUAAAUUUAAGAUGUGAACAAAUUUUGUUAUAUAGUUGUUAACUUGUUAUUAUUAAUAACCGGUAAAGGAAGAAAACAAAUAAUAAAAGAGAGUCAUUCUGCGCGUUGCGGCCGGGCCUAACCGCCUAAUGGGGGCCUGGGCACAGCCCAAAACAGCAGCCGUGCUUGGGCCACUUAGCGUGGCACCGCAUGUCGGCCCGGGAACGGCCUGUUAAGGGCCCGCACCACUCCCACACCUCCCCCAUACAAAAGGUUGCCCCAACCCUAGCCCUUCAUUUUCCCCUCCCCGGUUUUCCAGCAGCCGCCGCGCGCUGCUCCCUCGUUUCACCCCUCCCCCUCAUCUCGGCGGCGCUAUUCGGUCUUCGCAGGGCCCUUUGCCGGCGACGAGCACCCAGCAGGUAUGCCCUCCCCUUCUCCACCCUUCCUGCUGUGUGGAACAGAGCACCACAAACCCUAAUAUAAGCUAUCUGUAUUCGGAUCCCACCCAGUUACAAUACUAUUACAUAAGAGCUUCGAUUUUGCUUGCAAAAUUAUCGAGUGUACAUGCGUACACCCAUGUCCUAUGCUGGGUCCGCCCCAACUGGAAUGCACGGUUUAUCUGCUUUAUGUAUUUGCUUUGUGAUGUAAUAGCAUUCCGCUUUUGGCCGUGCAAUAACAUUAGAAAGUUGGUAUGUAGCAAUUACGAUUUGCCAAGUCCUUUUUACUGUUCGUUGGUUUCUGCCUGCUUAUAGAAGUCCUCCAUAAUCCAGAAAUGAAAUGAAGUUUCAACUCUUCUGCUGCACGGAAUGUAUUUGGCUCGUCACCUCUAGCUAGUGUGUAUUCAUCCAUGGAGGAUCAUAUUGAUGCUAUGCUUCUGUCCGUAGCCAGUUUUGCGUUUGUCUGUACUGUGAUAACUGAUAAGAACGAGUUUCAGUACUUUUUACAUUUAAUGUGCGUUUUUUUAGCUUGUGGAAGAUCAUUCACACUUGCCUAGGCUGUUCUGAAUGCCGUACAUAGUAGUACUCCCUCCGUUCCAAAUUGUAACUCAUUCCAAGAAUAUUGGAGAGUCAAAGCAUCUCAAGUUUGACCAAAAUUAUAGAGAAAAAUAUAAAUAUUUAUGACAUCAAAUAGAUAUAUUAUGAAAAUAUAAUUGAUAAAGAAUCUAAUGAUACUUCGUUAACAUCAUAAAUGUUAUUAUAUUAUCAUAUAAAUUUGGUCAAACUUGAGAUACUUUUACUCUCCAAGAUUCUUGGAAUGACUUACAAUUUGGAACGGAGGGAGUAGUUGGUUUCUGUGACACUUGGGUUCAAUUCAUCAACUUUUUUGUGGUUUUGGCACUUCAGUAUUAUUUAAGGUAGACGAGGCUUAUUCUUCCAUGUUGGUUCUUCUUGACUGCCAAUCUGCUAGUGUUGUAUUGCAGUCUGCAGCUUCUCUGUUACUUAGUUUUUGGCCAACAUAAAUGGGUCUUGACUGUCUCAUGUCAACUUCGAUAUCAGUUGUAGCUCAAUAUGGUUAUCAAUUUACAAAAUAAUUUAUAUCUGACCUUGAAUCGUGGACUGUUUUUUACACUUUGGUUAAUUGUACUUAUUUAGAAUGGUUGCACUCUUAAGCUGCCUUUCACAACUUUUUUGAUGGUGUUCUGCAGGUAAGGUCAUUAUGGUUAGAGUCAGUGUUCUCAAUGAUGCUCUGAAGAGCAUGUAUAAUGCUGAGAAGCGUGGGAAGCGGCAAGUCAUGAUUAGGCCGUCAUCCAAGGUCAUUAUCAAGUUUCUUAUGGUCAUGCAGAAGCAUGGUUAGUUAUCAAUUUUUAUCCUAACAAUUUUUGCUUUCAUGGAGGAUGGGGUCCCUGAUACUUUUAUUGUGCUGUGCAGGCUACAUUGGUGAGUUUGAGUAUGUGGAUGAUCACAGGGCAGGAAAAAUUGUGGUUGAACUGAAUGGCAGGCUGAACAAGUGUGGUGUCAUCAGUCCUCGCUUUGAUGUUGGAGUGAAGGAAAUUGAGGGAUGGACAGCCAGGCUACUCCCGUCUCGUCAGGUUUGUUGCUUGGCGAUGUUACCAACUCCAAAUACCUAAAUUGUGACGAAUUGUCUGUGUUUUGGGCACUGCUGAUCUUUCAGUGGUAAAUUGAUUAACUUGCCCCUUGGGACUUGCAGUUUGGUUACAUUGUUCUGACUACAUCUGCUGGCAUCAUGGACCAUGAGGAAGCCAGGCGAAAGAAUGUUGGUGGCAAAGUUCUCGGUUUCUUCUACUAAAAUGGAAAUUUUUGCAAGGAGCAUCAGUUUUUUUGUCUGAAUAGCUGGAGAGAUGAGCUUAUGAAGCAUGUUUGUUGUUUUGUUAAUGUUUUGGCUUUUAUGAUAUUUGAGGUGUAGUUGAAUGUUCGCUUGUUAGACACCAAACUGUGCUCAACUUAUAUAGUUGGCAUCUGGAUUUUAAUCGAAUUAAGCUAUGGUACUUUCUCGUUGUGUUGACUAUCUCCAAAUACGCUCUUUUGACUUGUGUUAAUUCUUGUAUGUUCCCAAGUGCAAGUGAAGUCUGAAACUCAGAACUGGUUUGUUUCAGAUGUCAAUGACCUGGAUAAUAUGUCAUUAGUCUGGAUGCUGCUGAAAUGUAGUACCUGAAGUAUAUGAUUUAAAAUUUUAGAAAAUCUCUAUUUGCUACUCUCUCCGUUUUGAAUUGUAGGUAGAUAUAAGUGUAUGUCUAGAUGAACCUAGAAAAAUCAAAACAACCUACAAUUUGGAAAUUUGGAAUGAGGGAGUACAUUACAUAUGGGUCACACACUCACACCUGUAUACGCCGUUAUUCCCAAACUAAUUUAUGCUAGCUGGCUAGUAUGUAGUUUCGUAGAGCAUAUACAUCAGAUGUACCAAUUAGGAUGAAACUUCACAAAGAAACUUCACAAAGAGAACAUCUCUGAAAAGCAACAAAACGUCACAACAAGCUCUACAAACGUAUACAGUGGCCUGCACCAUAUGGUACUUCACUAAAUACUGAUGUAUUAUUGCUGACUUAAUAUAGAUAACAACGGAUACAUGAAGUUGCAUUUCUACAGUGACUCAUGAGCUAGGGGCGGUAAUACACGCGCUCAAUUACCAUCUUCUCACGGAGGAGGAAGAUCUGCCAAAGAUGUAUAGUUGCCCUACAUGGCCGAACACCAGCUGCCUCCGCCGUCAGCCCGUCACCGUCGAAGCUGUCGCCGCCGCACUCGCUGCCGGCGAAGCCGAGGGAGCAGCCUGCUUGAACUACAUGGCAGCGGCAUCAGGACAAUGUUGGGGUAGAGAUUAGAGAGGCACACCCCGGUAAAGGGUCCUCCAUGGAAGGUGUUGGAUGAGGAUGCAUAUAUAGGGAGCUUGAGGCUUGUCCCGGCGAGUGGAAGCCUAGGUGGGUGACGGCCUUUUUCGCGAACCGGAAUGCGGUAUCUUCCUUAGCAUAUUCUUGAGCACAUGGAAACUUCUCCCCUUUUCCUGUUCCAUGCUUUGCUUCGCUUUCGAGUAUUCAAAGGAUAUUCCAUGCCUUUGCGUGCCUUUCUCUGGACGUAGAGUUGGAGUGGCUUGACGAAGCAUGGGCUGGAAAGCUGGUUAGGGUUAGCUGUGGUCACGACGUCACGUAGAAGAGUCUUGCCUGGUGCUUUGUUUGUUC
rnacentral:lncRNA from 1 species